GGAAAAUGAUUGUGACAAGGUGAUCCAAGCUCUAAAAGGAAAGCUCUUCAGAGUAUCCUCCUUGCUUUCAUAGGUUUUCCUUGCAAGAGUUGUCUUCCCUAAACCACCCAUGCCAACCACACAUAUCACCUUAGCAGGACCGUCCAUAAUGGUGACAUCAAUCAUAGCAAUCAACUCUCUUUUUGGUGCAUCAAAACCCACAAGUUCUGCUUCAUCAAUGUUGCUUGCUGAGUUAUUGCGAAUAUCUUCCAUGUUGGAAUCCAUCUCAUCAGUGAUGUUGGAGGAUUCCGUCUUGAUUAACUUGUAGCGCUCAUUCCUGUUGCUCACUUCUUCGAUUCUUGAUUUGAGGUUGCGAAUCCGGACAGCUAUUCGAUGCCGAUCUCUGAGCUUCAUCAACAGGUUUGAGAAGCUAUGGCGCCCCACAUGAAGCAUAAACUCGUCAAUGCAAUCUUCAAUGUCAUAGGACAGAUCUCGUACUUGCUCUGCCCAAACCUUCACUAGUUUAUCCUUUUUUUCUGUUACUUGAGGUGCUUGCAGAAAUGCUUGGAUGGUUUUUAGUUCGUCUUUGAUGAACCUGUAGAACAAUGGGUAAAAUAAAUUCAUAUUCACGUUGUGGAAAAGAAAUAAAGUUGUCCAAUAAUCUUCCACUUGGAACACGCAGUUUCACACCUUAAGCCACUCUGUAUCCUGUAGAAGCUAUAUAUGUGGUGGGAGGGCCAAAUUAACACAAAUUUUUUUUGUUGUUCGAUGUCGAUUCCAGGCCUCAAUCACAAACCUACUUAGUCGUUAUUUACUUGAUGCUUGAAAAAUCAGAUAUCGGGACACUGAGCUUCCUAGUUAUGCUCUGAAUAAAUCAGCUGGGAGUCAGUUGCAGCAUGCUUACCACAUCUCCUUCUGCACGCCCAUCAGCAAGCUUAUCUCAGUACCGGCCGCUGACGCCGCCUUGCUGACGGCGCUGCCUAGGACCGACUUUGCCAUGAUGAGCGCCGUCUCCGCCAUAUCUGGUUACUCUCCAAACAAUGCAGCUCCCAGUUCUCCUCGAUCACACUCGGAGGCUGAAAGAAUCGGUACAAGCACUGAUUAUCUUUGUACAGCUACUUCAAAUGUCUUCUCUUGAAGUUUUUGAUGGUACAAACAUCCUAAAAAAAAGUUUAUAAUAAGCACUAGGAAUUUGGGGAAGUCCUCGAUAAAAAGAGUUCUUUCUAUAGUCUGCUGUUAGGCCUUGUUUAUUUCACCUCAAAAACCAAAAACUUUUCAAAAUGUCUCGUCACAUCGAAUCUUGCGGUACAUAUAUGAUGCAUUAAAUAUAGACAAAAACAAAAAUUAAUUGUACACUUUACGAGUAAAUCGUGAGAUGAAUCUUUUGAUCCUAAUUAGUUUAUAGAGAAUUAGACAAUAAUUAUUAAAUAAAAACGAAAGUGCUAUAGUAUCCAAAAUCCAAAAAAAAUUCGGAACUGAACAAGGCCUGAAAACACUUAAUACCAAAAACUGGACAAAGCUCUGUUGAUCUAAUAAGAUACAAGUAGAAACGAAAACAAACAUCAGAUCAUCCAGAGAACUGCAGAGAAUGGGUUUCACUUACUCGGCCUCUCCCUCGGGAAAACUUGGUGUCCGAAUUGAAAGACCCAGAGUGGUUUCCGGUGUAACUGUAGGAACGCUCUUGCAACAAUCAAGCCCGCGAGGAUGGCAGUUUGCUCAGGGAUCCGAGCUAGUAAGGAUUUCAAGCUUGGAGCGCCGAAAGGUGGCGGUGGAUUAAUGGUAGCAUUUGCUCCGGUUGCUAGCGCAUCGCCCUCCAUAAUCCAUAUUGACUCAGGUCCCUCGGCGCCAGUCAACAUGCAUCCUCGGCCACACAAUGGGUGAAAAUAUCUGGUUAGCAGGGCCCUAAAAGUCUUCCUAUAUGUCGCUGGCAUGCUGAUCCUACCAGUCAUUUCAGCUAACCAGAUGUUAGAAAAAUGAAAUGGGAAACACAGGAAAUAGGAAGAGAAAGGUAUGCUGGCAUGCGCCUUUCGAGCACGUCAUGUUGUGCUGCUCUACUCUGUAUGUCAACAACAAUGUCACAAAAGAAAAUUCAUUGCGAUGCCUGGGAUACGAUGAAAACGCAACAUUUAAACCGACAGGUUCAUGCAAUCAUGCAUUGCAACACAGGACAUACAGGCCUUAGUUACAUCUAAAAUCCAAUUUUUUUUAAGAUUCUACGUCAUAUCGAAUCUUGCAACACAGGACAUAUAGGCCGAAAAACACAUCGGAUCACUAGAGGAUCUUUGCCGAGGGCCUCCGGCCUUCGGCAAAGGCUAUAAGACCCUCGGCAAAGGCUUUGCCGAGGGCUGCCCUCGGCAAACAGCCCUCGGGAAAAUUUCCGUCGGCGAAGGGAUCUUUGCCGAGGGCUGUUUGUCGGGCACUCGGCAAAGAUUUUGCCGAGGGCUGACGCCGGCCUUCGGGGAAAAAAAGAUACCGUUAGGCUACGGGCUGCAACUGACGGCGUCUUUGUCGAGGGCCCAUCGUUGGGCCCUCGGCAAAGAAUUUUUUAAAUUUUAUUUUGGGUAAUUUCUUUGCCGAGGGUUUCCAUGCAGGCCCUCGUCAAAGAAUUUUUAAAUUUUUAUUUGGGUAAUUUCUUUGCCGAGGGCUAGCCCUCGGCAAAGUCUCUUUUUUUAUUUUUUCUGGAGAAUUCUUUGCCGAGGGCCUUGACCAUAGCCCUCGGCAAAGACCUGUUUUUUAUUUUUUCUGAGAAAUUCUUUGCCGAGGGCUAUGGUCAAGGCCCUCGGCAAAGACCAGAGAAAUUUUAAAUUUUUUUGUUUGUUUAUUUGCAUCCAGACAAUAGACAGAUACAUAUAUAUACCAUCACACACACAGAGUCCACAACGAGCACAUACAUCUCACGAACAUCACAUAUAUAUAUCACGAACAUCAUGUAUGUACAUCCAGUAGUCCACAAGUUCACCAAAUCGAACCAAAGUUCCAAACCGCCGACACGUACGUACCGUAGGCUGCGAGAACUCACCAUCCUCCCCAACCGUCCUGCUUCUGCGUCGAGGGUGGUGUGUCGAAGGCUCCAGGAUCCGGUGACGUACGAGGUGGGUUAUUGGAUCCCGCUGUCGACUGAGGCUGCACAAACAGUUAGAUGUUUAUGUGAGAUUGCAGUAAUUAUUUCUGCACUACAGUUACAAAGAAGAAGUUAACUUUGACACUUACAGUAGAACUAAACGGCGGCGGUAGUUGAGGCGCUGGAGCUGACAUCGUGACGUCCACACCUGUAUGCUGCCCCAGAGCGGCCAGGACCCUCAUCAUCUCAGCCAUCCUCUCGUCUUGGGCCUCUCGCGCGAGACGCUCAGCCUCCAGCCGAGCAGUGAGGGCCGUGAUCUGCUCCGUCUUCUAGGCGUUGUCGGCCUGCAAGAUUACACUCCAAUGUUUCAGUAAUGCAAAUGUAAUUUAGUUGCGAGAAUAUUAAUUUACUAUGAGUGAACCUAGAAUUACCUAGAGCGAAGCUAACAUGCUCACUGUCGGAGUCGGCCGUGCACGGAUGGGCUGGCUGGAGCUUGUGCUCUGUGCUCUGAGCUGGCUGAGAGUGGGGGUGGUGUUGGGGUCGAUGGCGCGUUUGCGAUCCAGGCCCGGCCGUGCUUCCUACCGCCACCGAGCCUCAUGACGGCCUCGGCAUCUAGUGGCUCGGUGCGAACGUCGUACUCUGGCCCGUGCCGCUCCCGUACCGCCGACGUGUACUCCUGGACCUUAUUGUACACGUUGGGGUCGGAGUACGCCUCGCGAGCGGCAGCUGCGUCCCAGGUCCGUUGGCCUGCAGUCUGGUGAGACGCAGCCCAAGCCGUGAACAUGGACACCUCCUCGUUCGGGUGCGCAGCCUCCUACGAGAAAAGCGACAGAGGGUGAGUAAUCAAGCAUACAUUAAACACGAAACUAAAUAGAAGACAAAUCACUUACAUAUGAUUUUUUGAAGGCGGGGAGGCUCUUGCUGCCUUGGUGGUGAGUGGCAGCUGGUCUUUGCAGACGCAGUGCCCGCUGAAACUCGUGCCUGUCUAGGUAGUCCUGCGUGAACCACCUACCCACGAUCGCGGCCCAGGCAUCGGCAUGCGCCCGACACCACCAGGGAAUCACCUACAAGACAAUGAGUGUUUGACAGAUAUGAAGAUAUAAUUGAAUAUAUUAAAUUCAAAAAAGAGACAAUCUGAAUGUUAUUCAUCUGCCUCCAGGUACUGCUCCUGGGUCAUCGUCAUCGUCCGCGCUUGAGCCUUCGUGAUAGUCAUACUACGCGCCGACGCGUAGAAGUCUAUCACUGCCUGGACGCGCGCCUCAUGGUGCAUGUCGGUGACAUACUUCCUACAGGAGGCGUGCGCCACAGACUCAGCCAGGGCCACGUCUUCGUCCUCCACCCUGAAGUACCUCUGCACAAAAGAUAAUACAUCCUAUCAUUAUUUAAAAAAAUAGAUUUUAAUGUAAUGGAUUAAUUAUUGUUGUGCGAAAGGAACUUACCUAAAACUCGGCCAGUAUCCUCUCCUGGGGGUUGCGGUACGUGCCGUCCUCCCCUAAAGCUUACCUGUCCCACGUGGUGGCCGGCUCGCGGGCCCCCGACGCCAACUCCACGAGGCCGGGGAAGUACUUCCGGCACAGGGUACCCAGGAUGGUCGGGGGAGCGCGCACGGGAGUACCCGACACCAGAUCCCAAGACCUGCACCAGUUAGAAAAAAAAUAGUCAGUUUCUCUCUAAACCCUCAAACCUAUCAGAUGAGGUAGUUGUGAUAUCAUUUAGAUUUACUUACUUGGGCGGUACAGGGCGAAGCAGUGCCCGACUCUGAGGUAGUGGGUAUGGAGGGAGCUUCGCGGGACCUCGCUGGUAGACACCCGACGCCGCGCCUCCCUCGUCCUCAGGUGCCGCGCCGUGCUCCUCGUCAUGGCCCUCGACCUGGUCCUCGUCCUGGUCCUCGUCCUGGUCCUCGUCCUCCUGGUACUCCUCCUCCAGCGUCGGAGCCACGGGGUCUGGGGUGGGACUCCGCGGCCUCCUACGCCCUUGGCUGGUACUCGUCGUGGAAGGCCUCCCCCUCCUGCGGCGUCCUGCGGCGGCUGCCCCUGACGACUCUGCCUCGCCAGUGAGGGAAGGGCGUGUCGCGUAGGCCGAGGGUGUGUCACGUCGUGGCCGCCUGCUCGCCAUCUUUGAUCAAACACCUGCACACACAAAGAAUGAAACAAGACUUAUUAGUAAGCAUAUUAGAGACUUGAAAAUAAAUAAACAAAACAAAAAUGUCAAUAAUUUAAAAAAGACAUAGUAUUACAUGUAUUACGAAUAGUCCUCGUGGUUGGGAUUAUAUGUCUCGUCAUCACUGUCAAUAUUAUCCAAAUAAGCGACACUAUCCGAAGGUCCUACGUCAUCGUCUUCGUCUUCAUCACCAGCGACAAGUAAUCGCUCAAGCAUUUGUAUGUCCUUGGCAUUUUGCACCACGUCUCCAUCAUCCUCGUCAUCAACCGUUUCGUUGUCUUCUUCCAUUUCGAGGGCCUGAGGUAGGAGUAUCUGAAGUGUCCCCGAUAGCCCAUCUUCCUGAUAGAACUCUCCAUCAUAUGUGUUUGUGUUAAAGUUGUAAUCGUCAUCGUUUGGGGCUGGGAGUUUCCCGUGUGGAGAAACCUGGUGCACAAUAGCCCACCCCUGAAGCUCUUGUUUGGCUUGAUUCGCAUAUCUCUUGUAAUACACCUGCACGGCCUGUUGAGCCACAAUGUAGAUAUCCUUUCCUGGAUAUACAGAAUCUUCUCGCACCUCGACUAGCCCAAGACUAGGGGUGAGUCUCGUUUCGCGAGGAUUAAACCAGUGGCAUUUAAACAUGACAGGUUUCAGAGGUUUGUCACCAUCAAAUUCAAGUUGGUAGAUGUCCUCAACUCUUCCAUGGUAGUCGAGGCCAUCAGUGCCGAGAGUACAAACUCCACUAUUUGUGGUUUUCCGAUUGGGCCGGAUAUUCUCGUAUCUUGUUGUGUGGAAGCGAUAACCGUUCACAUCAUAUCCGGUAAAUGACUUCACCCUAACUUGGCAGCCGUUUGCAACCUGUUUCAACUCGACACUCAUGGACGAGUCGGUCCGGGCCUUUCGUUUGAACCAAGAAAUAAAAUCAGGCCUAUCCGCUCCCGGGCCCCGGGAUAGAAGGAUGUCUUGUUCUUGCGGGGUUGGAUCUCUUGGUUCAUUCCAAGAUUCACGAACAAAUUCCCCGAUAAACGGUUGCAUCUCAGUAAGGUUGUUGAACAAGUAUAGCAUGAUACUGCACCAUUCGUUAUUUGUCAAAAUCUUCACGGUGGAUGCACUUGUGCUACCGAGUUGUCCAUGGAAAAGACUUAGAGUCAAUUCAUUUUCGUCGACAUUGUAACGUGGAAGUGGGUUGUGAUUGCUCGGCAGAUUGGGCUUGUAGUACUGUGUAGUGAAGUUUGCCACCUCCUCCCUCAGGUAUGCCUCUGCAACGGAAGCCUCAAUUCUGGCUUUAUUUGUACAUUUCUUGCAAAGAGUCUUCAGUACCCUCUCCACUGUAAAACACCAGCGAAACUGCACAGGCCCCCCCAAACGUACUUCAGUGGGAAGGUGCACGACCAAAUGCUGCAUCGACAAGAAAAAUCCCGGUGGGAAGAUCUUCUCCAGCUUACAGACCAACACAGGUGCCUGUUUUUCUAACUCUAUAGCGAUGUUUCGAGAUACCUCCUUAGCACACAACAGGCGGAAGAAAUAGCUCAACUCAGCCAACACUUUCCAGACAUGCUCAGGGACAUACCCACGGACCAUUGCAGGGAGAAGCCGCUCAAUCCAUACAUGGUAGUCAUGACUCUUCAUCCCGUUGACUCGCAAAGUGGUUAAGUUCACUCCUCUGCUGGUCAAACGACGAAUACUUGCCACCCUUUUUCAACCAAAUAAACCUCACAGCUUCCAUGCAUACGGGACACGAAAACUUCCCGUGAACACACCAGGCGCAGAAUAACCCGUACGCCAGGAAAUCAUGUAGAGAGUAGUGAUACCAAACAUACAGUUUGAAGCUUGACCUUGUAGCUCGGUCGUAUGUCCAUACCCCUUCCCAAGCUUCAAUCAAUUCGUCAAUCAGAGGCUCCAUGAAGAUCCCCAUGUUGCUCCCUGGGUGUCCAGGAAUUAUCAAGGAUAGAAAAACGUUUUGUCGUUGGAAGGCAAUGCCAGGGGGAAGGUUGAGAGGGAUAGUGAACACAGGCCAACAUGUGUAUGGGGAAGACAUCAUUCCAUAAGGAUUGAAUCCAUCUGUUGCAAAGGCCACACGUACAUUCCGAGCCUCAGCUGCUUUCUCAGGAUGUCGAUCAUUAAAGUAUUGCCAUGCUUCAGCAUCGGAUGGAUGGACCAUCUUGUCCGGAUGGUACCGCUUGCCAUUCUUAUGCCAAGUCAUCUGUUUCGCAGUUUCCUCGGCCAUGAAAAGUCGUUGGAUCCUCGCCAUGAAAGGAAGGUGACGUAACACUCUAGCGGGGAUGGUAAGCUGCACUUUCUGGCCAUCACCAGAUACUGCCUCGAGGUAUCUUGAGGCUCCACACUUCGGACAGUACUUUGCAUUCUCGUGUUCUUUCCGAAAUAGGACGCAACCUUUCGGACAACAAUGUAUCUUAUCAUAUGGCAUCUUGAGCGCACGAAGGAGUUUUUCUGACUCGUACAAGUUUGGGGGCAGAAUAUGAUCCUUCGGUAGCAUGGUGGCAAACACAGUCAACAUCUUAUCGAAGCCUUCUCGACUCAGGUUCAGCUCGGCCUUCAGCCCAAUCACACGCCCAAUGCCAUCCAGCUGAGAAAUAGUUGUAUGCUUGUGAAGGGGUUUAGACGCCGACUCCAACAUUUUGUAGAAGGCUUCUACGUUUGCCUCCAUGUCCUCCUUGUCACGUCCUUCAGCGAACUGAGCUUGGUGAGUGUCGUCUAGCAUGUCGGCUACCCCAGCAUCAUCAUUAAAAGGCUCAAGACGUGGUCUCACCACCUCCUCUCUGAUACGGUCUUCACCAUGGUAGAUCCACCGGUAGUAGCCCGGCGUAUAACCAUGGUACACCAAAUGUUUACCCAUGGUCUCCUUGUUCACCCUCCUCUUGUUGUCACAGUGGCUGCACGGACACCAAACUAGCAAAUGCCCUCUAGCUACAACCGCGCCAAAUGCGUGGUUCAAGAAAGCAUCUAUCCUCUUCACCCAAUCCAUGUUGUAAUCAUUUCGGCUUCUUCGCCCCGUGUACAUCCACUGACGGUCCUCCAUCCACUGACGGUCCUCCAUCCUUUGACAAAUACGACACCAAGUAACGUAACCACCUAGCCGGUAUUCCUACUGUCUAAUAGGUGAGGAUAGGUCCUAAUCCCACCCGCGUAUGCGUAGAUGAGGUCAGUUUCCAUGCUCCGCUACGAUCCGAGACAGAGUUUCGGCAGCACCUCCCCGCUGUUCUCCCAAUACACGUCCUGCAAAGGAGUUUGUGUAUUCGGAGAACAAUGGAAAGGUGAUGCCGAAAUUCUGGCCCAAGAUCGGAGCGGAACAUGGAAACUAACCUCAUCUACGCAUACGCGGGCUGUCCAAGAAACAUGGACAAUCCGAAACAGAUACGAUCGGAUACACACAUUGAUCUAUAUGCAUCCAAUCGUAUCUCUUUCGGACGGGAGACGCCUAACUCGUUUACACAUUCUACGACAAAGACAAAGGAGUAGAGCUGGUUUAUACCUAAGGUGGCGGUGGAGAAAGGGUAGCGAGGCAGUGACGAGUCGGGGCAGUGGCGAGUCACAGCGGUGCAGGCAGACCAGCAGCACCGACGUAGACGAUCAGCUCCUCCGAAGCUCCUCUCACGUCCUCUGCUGUGUAAAAUAAAAAAAACAUUAGUUAAAAAUUUCGGCAGAACCUCCCCUGUACGGGGAGGUUCCCAAAACCUGCAAAACAAAAUCGACUCGAUGGCCGACACACAGAAACACGACACGACGGCCGAUAUAUUAUCAAUAGGAGGCACGAAGGCCAUCCGCAUCAAAAAAACGGCGCGAUGGCCGAGAACCUACUACUACUACUACUGAAAAUAAAUUUUUGAACCUAACUAAAAUUUCUAACUAUACAAACAAACUAAAAAUUCCAACUAUACUAACUAACUAAAAUUUCUAACCUAAGGCCUUGUUUAGUUCACCCUGAAAACCAAAAAGUUUUUAAGAUUCCCCGUCACAUCGAAUCUUGUGGCACAUACAUGAAACAUUAAAUAUAAACGAAAACAAAAACUAAUUACACAGUUUAGCUGUAAAUCACGAGACGAAUCUUUUGAUCCUAGUUAGUCCAUGAUCGGAUAAUAUUUGUCACAAACAAAUGAAAGUGCUACAGUACCGAAACGUUUUCAGUUUUCGGAACUAAACAAGGCCUAACUAACUAACUAAACACCCUAAACCCUAUAUACUAAAUCAAAUGAACAGAGGGGCUUACCUGCUGCUCAGGGAGGGAGAUCGGGCCGGGCACCACCAGCGGCGGGGUGGAGCUUGGGCGGCCGGCUGCGGGCAGUGCUCGGGCGGGCGGCUGGCGGCGGCAUCGAGGCUCCGGCGAGCGGCGGGCGGCUGGCGCGCACGGGCGGCGGGCUGGGGGCGCGCGGGACGACGCAGCGCGCGCUGGGCGGCCUGGCGAGCGCAGGGCGGCGAGCGCGAGCAGCCGUGAGCGGGGCGGGCGCGAGCGCGGGCCGGCGAGCGACGUGCGGCGUGCGGCGGCGGCGGCAGCGGGCGAGCGGGCGCUGGGAAGUCAAAUGACCCCCAGCGCCCGCUCGGGCGUUUUAUUACGGUCGACCUCUUUGCCGAGGGUCUAGAUCCAGGGCCCUCGGCAAAGAGUUUCUUAUUUUUUUCUUAUUAAUUUCUUUGCCGAGGGCUUGACCUAGGGCCCUCGGCAAAGAUUAUUUUUAAAUUUUUUUCUUCCGAGUUAGUCUUUGCCGAGGGCCUUGAAUACGUGCCCUCGGCAAAGAUACUGGUGAUCACAUGUGAGAUGUUUGGGUUUUGUGCACCAGACGUUACCACAGACUCGGAAUUUUUUGAAAUUUUUAUCAUAGCAUCCACAUGUGAUAACAUGUUAUGUCACCAAGUUUCGUGAUUUUCUGAGUUUGUUUUCAUUUUAUAUAUUCAAAAAAACGAUUUCACGCAACUUGGUCCACAUGUUUCAGGGGGUAAACGUUCGAUAUUUCAUGUGGCUUUCUGCAUACGGUCUGGAAAUGCACUAACAAUCAUGAAUGUCAAGAUUGAAAUAAUUAAAUACUAUUAUUUAAUGCACCUGUAGUUUGAAUUUGAAAUUUGUCGAAAAAUUCAACAAAUUCAAAAAAUCCAAAAAAUAUACCAAAGUUAUUUCAAAAUGAACCAAACUUUGACAUGUACUUAAAAAUAGUGUAGGUGUGCCACAGAAAGAAAAAAACAUGGAUCCAAAAAAACAAAAAAAAUUUGCCGAGGGCCCACUCCAGACCCUCGGCAAAGAGGGAGUUGCCGAGAGCAGGCUGGCCGGCCCUCGGCAAAGUCUGACCUCCGGCAGUGCUUUGCCGAGGGCUUAACUACGGGCACUCGGCAAAGCCUAACGCCCAGAGCCGCCGUUACUCUGGGCCCACACCGCUGAGCGCCCCUUCUUUGCCGAGGGCCCGGCCCUCGGCAAAGAUGGGCCUUGACCGAGGGCGUUUCUCUGCCGAGGGCCCGGCCCUCGGCGAAGAAGCCUUUGCCGAAGGUCACUCUUUGCCGUGGGUUGGCCCUCGGCAAAGAUGGCCUUUGCCGAGUGCCCGAUAUCCGGCCCUCGGCAAAACAAAAAACCCUCGGCAGCGUUGCUGUUUCCAGUAGUGGAUAUCACAUGAGGGUGUUGCAUGGGUGUUCGGAUACUAAUAGGAAAACAAAUUACAGAAUCCGUCGGGAACCACGAGACGAAUUUAUUAAGCCUAAUUAAUCAGUCAUUAGCACAUAUAUUACUGUAGCAAUUAGUGUCUAAUUAUGGAUUAAUUAGGAUUAAAGAUUUGUCUCACAAAAUCUAAUUAAUCUGUGCCAUUAGUUUUUUAUUUUAUCUAUAUUUAAUACUUUUUGCAUGUGUCUAAAUAUUCGAUGUAAGAGCAUCUCCAACCAUUAUGCAUUCGAAGUUAUGUAUUUUCGGCAAAUUGCAAACCCCCAAAUGAAAAUGGCAAGGCUAAAAUCGGGUGAUCUCCAACCGUUAUGCAAAAUGCCAAGUCCAUCAUCUUUCUUUUUCUGGAAAUUUUGUUUCGCGGCACUCCUUCCCGCGCCGCCAAUCGAUCCCGCGCCGUCGUCUCCCGUUUACCAAUUCCCGUUGGCCAUCAGUUCGUCGUCGUACAGGUUCGCCCCUUGGCUCUAGUACCGAUCUCCAUCAGGUCCUUCGCCAGAAGGCGUACCUGGCCGCGCGAAGGGAAGAAAAAAGCCCGCGAGGUGGAACCGAGAAUCCCGUGAUCUCUAUUUGCAUAGCCGGACUCCUUUGGCAUAUAUGCCAAGUUUCCCCCUCCAAAUGCAUAGCUAUGUAAAAUGCAAAGUCCAAAUGCAUAACGAUUGGAGGGGUUUUUUUUGGAGUUUUAUGCAUUUUGGUAAAUGCCAAGUCCAUUUGCAUAAUGGUUGGAGUUGCUCUAAUAGGACGGGCGAAAAGGUUCUAGAUAAAAACUAAACAGGGCCACAGUCUGAUCUAUGAUAAGGGUAGCCCAGGUCAUUCCUGCCACAUUGGCUCCGACCCUGAUGCUCAAUAAAAAUUCCCCGGAAGCCAAAUACUGCCAUGAUAUAGCAUAGGAGAUAGCCAGAGAAAUUUGGAUAUUUGCCAUUGCAAACAAUGGGCUUCGCAAAAUUGCCAUUCAAAAGAGUGACUUUGAAAAGAUUGCCAUCCAAAAGAUAGCCAUAACUUUAAGAGUCAGAUAGAGACACCUCCUACUUGUGUUUUCAUUCCCCAUGAAGGCCUCCUCGCCGUACAUCUUCUUCGAAUCAAAAGUUCAAAACUAUGCGCAUGGCCCUCCAUAUUGACUUUGGAGGUCCCUCGACGCCACGGGUGAAGGUAUUAUGUGUAGGGGUGCAAAAGCACAACCACCCAAAAAAUUACAAAAAACAGUGAUUUUGAUUAAAAUUGUAUUAUAUAUGCACCAUAUAUUAGACUUAUCUAUGCAUCCAUACGACAAGUGAACCAUCCUCUAAUUUGCUCUAGCUUUGUCUACCGCACAAUGGAUGAAAAUAUCUGGUUGGCAGGACCCUAACAGACAAGAAAGACAGGAGCAACUCUGUAUGAAGCUUGCUGUCAUUUCAGCAGAAACUGCAUUGGAGGAGUUAAUCAGAUUCUAGAAAAAUGAAAUGGAAAACACAGAAAAUUGGUAUGCUGCCAUGCAUAUGCAGCUCUCUAACACGUCAUGUUGUGCUGCUCUCUACGGUCUAUAUGGGUUUGUUUAGUUGGGGAAAAUUUUUGAUUUUGGCUACUGUAGCACUUUCGUUUGUAUUUGAUAAUUAUUGUCCAGUCACUAACUAGACUCAAAUGAUCCGUCUUGCAAAUUAAAGAUAAAUUGUGUACUUAGUUAAUUUUUAAUCUAUAUUUAAUGCUCCAUACAUACGUCCAAAGAUUUGAUGUGACGGAAAACUAAACGAGGCCUUAACAACAAAAGUCACAAAAGGAAAUUCAUUGCGAUGCCUGGGAUAUGAUGCAUGUACAGUACGCUUCCAUGUAUCCUACACAGCUGCAGGGCUUAAUUCUUGAGGUGAUUAGAGGCUCCUCAUCUCCAACAGGCUAAACAUCUCCUUCCGCCGCAAUUUAGCGGGGAGAAACCUACAGGACUGGCACAGAAUUGUUGCUUCUCUACAGAAUGUGAAUUUACAAGAGGAAAGAGAUGUUUUCGUUUGGUCUUUACAUUCAUCAGGUAAUUUUUCAGUUAGCUCGAUGUAUGCCGCGUUAAUUAACAAUGGUGUCAGAGUGCCACAAGAUAUAUGACAGAUCAAAGUUCCUACAAAAGAGGUGUGAUUCUAACAAAAGAUAACCUAGCCCGUCGUAAUUGGAAUGGUGACACGAGAUGUAGCUUUUGCCAUUCUAUAGAAACUAUUCAUCACCUCUUUUUUGAUUGUUUUUAUGCCAAAUUUCUGUGGCGUGCAGUACAUUUAAUGUUUGGGAUAUCACCUCCUCUUAGCAUAGAGGAUUUAUUUGUUCAUUGGUCUAAGUUGGGUGAUAACUUGCACAAUUCUUUGUUAUUAACAGCAGCAUCGGCUUUAUGUUGGACAAUUUGGUUAACACGAAACGAGUGGUUUUUGACAAAAGUAGACCAAAAACUUUUUUGCAGGUACUCCUCCAGGGAACACAUUGGCUGCGCCAAUGGGCAAGACUGCAACGGCGUGAUGAUCAGCGGGACCAGCUCAUUCUUGUUGGACAUCAUCUUGAGUCGUCAGCCUUGCAUUUUUUAGCUCAAAUGGUUGGUUGUCAAAUAGGUUUAUUGGUCUCUCUUAGUCAAAUCUUUACUUCAUGUUUCUUUUUUUAUCUUUUCCAAAGUAAAUUGUGUAAACUUUGGAAAUAGUGCGCUGAACAGAUAUUCAAACUAUGUAAUAAUUUGUCUGAUUCUACUUGUUGGUAGAUGAAGCCGGAUAUAAACUAUCCUUUAUCUAAAAAAAAUCUCCAACAGGCUAAUUUGUAAUUUUAUGGUGCUCGGAAAUAAGAGCCCUCCAUUUCGUUGUUUAAAAAUAGAAAAACCCAGAUAGUCGAUAGAAAGAAGUUAAGUUAUGGGCCGAACAAAAAAAAAUACAUGGACCAAAACUGGUUUCUAAUUAAAUUAGGAAGUUAUAACAGUAUUUUAACUAAAUAAAAAAAAACUACUUCUCAUCUCCGCACGUGCGCUCUCUCUCUUUUAUCGUCUCCCGCACGUAUCAUCCAACCUAAUCAAGCUAGUUUAAUUAAUUACACUUGCAACUCAACUGAAAAAUCCAUGCCAAAAAUCUUCGCUGCCGAAUGAAUCAGUAAAUACAAACUGUAUAAGAAAAUGAGAGAACGAGAUAACCCUUCAGGGCUCUCGGUUGCUUGAUAUAUAGAGCCGGGAAUAACCCAACCGCCAUGGCAUACAAGAUAAGGUUUGUUACAACAUAAUCUCAACAAACUAACACACAAGCAACCAUUUACAAGACCUGAUACAACACGUCAACUAACUUACUGACUAACUAGGGAAGAUAUCAACUGAAUAUCUUUCACACUCCCCCUCAAUCUUAGCCACUGAAGAGGUUAAGAUUGGCACGAAAUUGGCGAAGCUGAGCAGCAGAAAUAGGCUUUGUAAAGCCAUCAGCAACUUGAUCAGCCGAAUUGAUGAAUCGAAUGUCAAGCACCUUGUUGGCAACGCGUUCACGAACAAAAUGAAAAUCAAUCUCAAUAUGCUUAGUCCGAGCAUGAAAGACAGGAUCCGCCGAGAGAUACUGGGCACCCAAAUUAUUGCACCAAAGACGCGCAACAACAGGAUGAGAAAUCUUCAACUCAGUCAACACUUUUUGAACCCAGAUCAUCUCAGUAGUAGCAUUAGCAAGGGCUUUAUAUUCUGCUUCAGUACUAGAGCGAGACACCGUGGCCUGUUUUCGAGCCAUCCAGGAGAUCAGAUUACUGCCGAGAAACACAGCAAAGCCACCUGUAGACCGACGAUCAUCCACACAUCCAGCCCAAUCGGCAUCCGGAAAAGCACUGACUAGUGUAGAAGAUGAACGUCUGAUCUGAUGGCCUACGGAGAUAGUGCCCCCGACAUAGCGAAGUAUCCUUUUGACCGCAGUCCAAUGCACCUUGGUCGGAGCGUGCAAAAAUUGGCACACCUUGUUGACUGCAAAGGCAAUAUCCGGCUGAGUUAACGUGAGAUAUUGAAGAGCACCAACCACACUUCGAUAAUUUGUAGAGUCUUCUGGUCCUAGGGGAUCACCAGCGUGUAGACUAAGUUUCUCUGACACACACAUGGGAGUGUCGACCGGUUUGGCCGUGGUCAACCCUGUUGGAGAUAGUAUAUCAGCAGCAUACCGACCCUGUGACAAGAGCAGUCCAUCUGGCUUGCGAGUAACCUCAAUACCCAAGAAGAAGUGAAGAUUACCCAGAUCCUUGAGAGCAAAGUCUUGCUGCAAAUCUCGAAGAAGAGCAUCAGUAGCUUGCUGUGAAGAACUUCCCACAAUAAUGUCGUCCACAUAGACAAGAACAAAUAUGACAACACCCCUACGACGAAAGUAGAACAGAGAUGUGUCAGCCAUGGAUGGAGAGAACCCUAGUGUUGUCAGCCUCUUGCACAACCGAGCAUACCAAGCUCGUGGAGCUUGCUUCAAGCCAUAGAUAGCCUUGUCCAACUUGCAUACAGAGGUAGGAUGAGCCUUAUCUGCGUACCCGGGAGGUUGCUGCAGGUAAACUUCCUCCUCCAAGAUACCAUGAAGAAAAGCAUUUUGCACAUCAAGCUGACGAAGAAACCAUCCAUUUGACACUGCUAUAGACAGCACAAGACUAAUAGUAGCAGCCUUAACCACGGGACUAAACGUCUCCUCAUAGUCAAUACCGUAUUGUUGUUUGAAUCCUUUUGCGACAAGACGCGCCUUGUACCGAUCAAUGGAGCCAUCUGCUUUCCUCUUAAUCUUAUAAACCCAUUUACAGCCCACAACAUUUUUUCCCUUAGGUCGAGGAACCAGAUGCCAAGUGUUGUUGCGGAGAAGGGCUUGAUGUUCAUGGUCCAUAGCAGCAACCCACUCUUUUCUUGCGAAGGCUUGAUUCAAAGACUGAGGUUCAGCACUUGACAUUGUAGAAUGCAUUCCCCAGCGCACUAUACCGUCACGGUACUGCUUAGGUUGGCGAAUACCAUGAGACAGGCGUGUCACCGGACGUUGGAGUGGUGCAAGCAUAGAGGAGACAGCAGCAGACUCAGGUGCAGAAGAUCCUGUGGCAAAAAUCUCCGUGGGUCUCGGGGACACGGCCGAGGCGGGAUCAGGCUGAGGCGUUGGCGACGGCUGAAGAACUCCGUGCGGAUGCAGGCUUGGCGCAGAAGACCCGAAGGUGAACUCCUCCACUGCAGGCAGCGUGGACGGCGACAGAAUUGGAUCUGGCACCGAUCCCGAAGACGGAGCACCAUCAGACCCUGCACCUGCUGCAGUAGGAUCCUCCUUGGGUGCUGAGCUGCUUCCCAACGGGGAGCACAUGAAAUGACGAGGUGCUCCACCCGCCGGAACUGCGCCGUUUUGUGCCGAAUCAACAUCACUUGAGCCUGCAUUACUUCCUAGCACAUCUUGGACAUCAACAGCACUGGAUACACCAUUAGUACCAUUAGGAGAAAGCAAAUCAUGACCAUGCAAAUUUCGUUCCCCAACACGCGAUGAUAGAGGGCCUAGGAUGUCCGAGAGGAGUUCAAGCUCUUUCCUGAGGAGAGCACCGGCAUUGGGAUGCAAGGAGGCAAAAGGAAACACAUGCUCGUCAAAGACUACAUCCCGAGAAAUAUAAACUCGCCCAACUUUGGGAUCAAGACAUUUGUAUCCCUUAUGCAACAUGUUGUACCCGAUGAACACACACUGUUUUGAUCUAAACUCUAACUUCCUAGAGUUGUAAGGGCGGAGGUUCGGCCAGACAGCACAGCCAAAAACACGGAGAAAGGUAUAGUCAGGAUGUGUACCAUGCAAGCGCUCAAAAGGAGACACAUGACCUGUAACUUUGGAUGGAAGCCGGUUGAUGAGAAAAGUGGCGGCUGCAAAGGCUUCAUCCCAGAAUUUGAGCGGCAUAGAGGCAUGUGCAAGAAGAGUAAUGCCCAUCUCGACAAUGUGUCGAUGCUUACGUUCAGCAGAGCCAUUUUGCUAAUGGGCAUGAGGACAGGAAACGUGAUGCGCAAUGCCUAUGCGUUUAAAGAAGUUCAAUGCUUGAUACUCACCGCCCCAAUCAGAUUGUACAACCUUGAUUUUCCUCCCAUACUGGCUUUCAACAAGAGAUUGAAAUUCAUAAAAUAUAUGAAACACUUCAGAUUUUUGGCAUAGCAUGUAGACCCAAGUGAAUUUGCUAUAGUCAUCGGUAAAGGAAAUAUAGUAUUUGUAACGUCCAAUAGAAGAAGGGGCAGGACCCAGACAUCAGAAAAAAUAAGGUCCAUAGGACCAUCGGACACACUGAUAGACACAGGAUAUGGCAAUUGAUGACUCUUGCCACAUUGACAAGCAUCACAGACACUAUCAUUAUUGGACUCAGGUAACACUGGUAGACUAUAGCGACUAACAACUUGUUGAACGACACGAGAAGAAGCAUGGCCUAGACGAUGAUGCACACGGACGAUGAUGGCUUGGUGGCACCGAGAGCUUGUUUAUCUGGUGGAGAGGAACAAGAUGACGCUCGCAGCGGGUACAAGCCUCCUUCACAUCUACUGCUGUGAAGAAUUUUCUUCGUCCCCUGUUCCUUAAUAAGAAAACGAUCGGGAUGAAAUUCAAGGAAGACGUUAUUGUCUUUAGUAAGGCGAUUAACGGAGCAAAGAUUUUUAGCAGCUUGAGGAACAUGAAGAAUGUUUUUAAGGUGUAGAUCGUGUGUGGGAGAAGGAAAAAUGCUAUGACCAAUAUUUGCAAUCUCCAUACCUUGGCCAUCAGCGGCAUGAACCUGAUCACCGCCGUGGUACUUGUUGCGCAUGGCCAUCAUCUCAAGCUCGCCCGUGAUGUGAUCCGUUGCACCAGAAUCCACAUACCAGUUCGUAUCCACCCCAUACGAACCAGAGCUUGCCGAGGACGCGCUCUUCUGCGGUGGUCCUUGAAAAUUGCUGUUGUACUGCUUGAAACAUCGAUACGCAGGGUGGCCCUCCUUGCCACAGAUCUGGCAGAUGACGCCUGUCUGAAAAUUGCGGCCGUGACCGCUGUUGCCGUUGUUGUUGCCUCCACGACCACGGUUGGUGUUGCCACCACCGCGACUGAAAGAACCGCGGCCACCCCCUUGAUUGCGAGGGUUGUUGAAGGAGCCCAUCCGGCCUCCCUUGGCAGCAACGUCUGCAGAUAGUUGAGCCCCAUCAUUGCUGAGGCCCUUGCGCUGCUCAUGGCUGAUGAGUUGUGCAUAAAUAAAGUUCAGGAACCGUGAUCAGUUCCACCCUUGUCGCAAUCGCCGUCACGACUGACUCAAAAUCCUCACCAAGACCGGUAAGAAUAUAAGUGACGAGGUCUUCAUCUUCUAACUUCUUCCCUGCCGAAGCCAUAUCAUCGGCAAGUCCCUUCAUCUUGGUGAAGUAGUCAGCCACGGAUGACAUCCCCUUAGACGCUGUGGCCAGAGCCAUGCAGGUGGAGAUAAUGCGAGCACGGGACUGGGAGGCAUGAUGAGCCUGGAUUGCCGCCCACAGUUCCGCCGCGCUCGUGGCCGUAGAAACUUGGGCGAAGAUUUCCUUCGAUAGUGAGCCGAAGAGAUAGCUAAGGACCUGUUGGUCCUGAGCCACCCACUUAUCAUAAGCAGGAUUUGGCACCGGAGGACCCUUCUUGCCGGUUGCAGCCUCGAGCUCCCCUUUAAGAUAUGCUUCCGGAGGAGCAGCCCCCGGCUUGAUGUAGCCAGCGAACUACGCCCCUUUGAGGGUGGACGAGACCUGGGCAUACCACAUAUUGUAGUUGCCCCAAGUCAGCUUCUCGGUAACUAGUGGCAGGAAGCCGAAGGAGAGGGGAUUGAACCUAGCGAUGCCGGUGGAGCUGGAAGACAUGGCGGAGGAUUGGAUCUACCCGGUGGGGAAAAAAAGCUCGAUACCAUAUAAGAAAAUGAGAGAAAGAGAUAACUGUGGGGGUAUAGACCCCUAUACCCUUACGGCUAGACUUGGGCCAGGAGGCUUGGCCCAUUACGAGACAAGUUUGAAGCUUGAUCCGACAGCUUGGAGUUUCGCACAAGGAAGCAAGAUGUGGAGAUCAAGCAGGAUUCUAGUCGGUUAAAAUAGGAAUUGAUAUCGAACUAUCUAUGGCAAUUGUAACCGACUAGGAUUAGUUUCUAGAUCUGUAACCCUGCCCUCCGGACUAUAUAAGGAGAGGCAAGGGACCCCCCUAGGACAUCAUUAUUCUCUCAACACAAAUCAAUACAACCAGACGCAGGACGUAGGUAUUACGCCAGCUCGGUGGCCGAACCUGGAUAAAAAGCUUGUCCGUGUCUUGCGUCACCAUCGAGUUCGUAGUUUGCACACCGUCCACCGAUAAACUACUACCGUGGGUAUACCCCAAGGUAGACUGCCGACCAGCUUUCGUCGACAGUGGCGCGCCAGGUAGGGGGUGCGCAUACAACUUCUCCGGCGAACAAGAUGGUCAUCAUUCCAGCUUCUGCGGCCGUGCCUGAAGGCCUCACGUUCACCGUCGGCCAGAUCACGUGGACGACGCACGGCGGCGGCCCCACGACCAUGGUUUCGGAAGGAACCCAGAUCCAAUCUGGGAUGACGGCGGCAUCGGCUCCGACCACGCAGAUGCUGGCACCGAGCACCCGACCACCGCUUCCGCGCUAUAAGGGAAAGAAGAUUGAUGGCUCGGAUCUUCUCCGAGCCCUUGAUCGCGCUGAUUUCAAGCUUCUCGAAGCUUCCCGACUAGUAGAUGGGAUCUCACGCCAGCCUGAUCAAGCCGCACCAACGGAUUUUUUCAACUCCUACCGGCCAACUCGUGUCGUCACACACGAACGGCUGGGAACGUCUCUGACGAUAACCUCCACCCCCUCAGGACGGUCCGUCAAGCUCGAGGCUGAUCCGGAGGAAGGUUAUCCUUGCGGUCUGAAUAACUCGGCCUCUCUAUACUCGCGGCACAUCCAAUCCCUUUUUAACGAGGCUGGUUGGUUGCCAAAGUGGAGCGGUCGACCAGCUCGUCACUACGUCAACAUGGUGACGAUCCGAGAACUACAGGACGGCCAGGCCUCCAGCACAAAUUCGAGCACUGGUUCCGUUCCCACUGAAGUCAUAAACUCCGAGGACGAGGACUACGACCUGGAUUUGCCACCAUAUCCUCCGGGUUUCUCUCGUUUCCCGGUCUUCCCACCCCGACGAGGAGACAUCGUUUUCAACGUCAGUGCCGACGAGCCGGUUGUUGAUGGAGAAACAGACGAGCAGAGGCAGCUCCGCGAGCAGCGCAAUGCCGACCGUGCCCGACGACGCGCGGACGAGGAACGCCAACUCCCACCGCAUAAUCUCACCGUCGCUUUCGACAUGGUCGGGGAUCAGCCAGUCUACAAAACGCCAAGCGCCAAUGUGGCUGUCGCCAUGGCCAAUUUAGAUCGACUCCCUGAUACUCCCGAAUGCCAGGGCGUCCGAUCCAGCGUUCGAGCACAUCUGAUCGCCGCGAUGGGACAGACAGCCACUCUGCUCAAAAGAGUCCAAGCUAUCUCCUAUAUAGAGGUCUCCUCCGACCAGACCCAUCGCAGCCGGACCUCACCACAGCCCAGCAGGCACCACCGUAGCCGUUCCCCCAACAAUCAUCGAAAAAAUUCACGGCGCGACGACGGCGGUCGGGAUGGUGGCGGUCACCGCGAGCAGAAUCGCGGGCGUGGUCAAGAAGUAAACCAGCACAGGGAUCUUCGAUACAACAUCCCUCCCAAAGACGCCCGGGACCGCAUCAACAGGCGCGCCACGGAGAGAGCAGUUCACGAAAACCUGCGUCGUAUUGAGUACGAUGCAACGCACGGCCCCCUGGGCCUGAGACAGUUCUCCUCACACCUCCGCCAAGUCAUGUGGCCUCGCAAUUUCAAGCUCGAGAAACUCAAAAAAUACGACGGCAAGGAAAACCCAGAAAACUGGAUCACUCUAUACGAGAUCCCCGUCCGGUCAGCAGCAGGAGAUGAGCACGUCAUAGCCAACUACUUCCCGGUCGUCUUCGACCAGGCCGGUCACCAAUGGCUCCUAGGCCUGCUCGAGGACUCUUUCGACUCCUGGGUAGAAUUACGCCAAGCAUUCAUCGACAAUUUUAUCGCUACCUGCGAACAACCCGGGAACAAAUACGACCUUGAAAGGAUACGGGACAGGAAUAACGAGCCACUGCGUGACUACAUCCGACGGUUCUCGGAUAUGCGCCUUAAGAUCCCGAAAAUUUCCCAUGACGAGGCCAUAUCUGCUUUCAUAAAAGGGCUGCGCUUCCACGAAGCAUUGAGGAACAAGCUACUGCGCAAAAGGCAAACAACGAUGGCCGAGCUCCUCGCCACGGCUAAAAACUACGCCAACGCCGACGAUGCAGAAAAACUCAUCCGGGAUGAUGCGAGAGGACCCGACCAGCCUCCUUGACGAGACGACAGUCGUGGUCACUUCGACAACAGGAACCAUCGUCGCCCCGACAACCGCGAUCACAGGGAAGUUUGGUGACGCGACAAUCGCGACGACUUCAGAGGAAAGCGCCCCCGCGACCACGACCACGAGGUGAAUAUAGUCAAGCGCCCCAACGGGCGGCGGGAUUACCAAGAAGACUACAACAAAACGUUGAAGGGACCAUGCCAACUGCAUCCAAAGUCCAACCACACCAUGGAAGAAUGCCGCGUCCACAAAAGCAUCUAUACGCGGCGGGCUGCUCAUGAUGACCCCGCCAAGAAAAACGGGAAACAAGAUGGGCGCGCUCACGAAGACGAGGACGAAGACCAGGAUAGGGACCCACGACACCAGUAUGUUAGUCCCACUGACGUGGUCCACUCCAUCUUCGAGGGAAAGGUUUCCAUCGAGUCUAAACGAGAAAGAAAGCACUUAAAGAGAGCCUGCCUCAACAUAGACAGCACGGAUGGCUUGAUCGCCGAUCCGAAAUUUCCUCCCUGGUCCCACAGGGAAAUCUCCUUCAGCAGGAAGGAUCAGUGGGUCGCUAUCCCGGAGCCAGGUCGUUUCCCUCUAAUCUUGGACCCUUGCAUCAACAGCAUCAGAUUCGAGCGCGUGCUCGUGGACGGAGGAAGUUCCAUCGACAUCCUCUUUCGCAACAGCUUGCCCGCCCUCAAGAUAUCUCCGGCACAGCUAAAACCCUACGACGCUCAAUUUUGGGGAGUCUUGCCAGGUCAGAGUUCAGUGCCCCUUGGACAAAUAACACUACCUGUCCAAUUCGGCACGUCCGACCACUUUCGAACAGAGUUCGUCAACUUUGUGGUCGCCGACUUCGAUGGGACUUACCACGCUAUACUGGGGCGACCAUCGCUGACAAAGUUCAUGGCAGUCCCACAUUACUCAUACCUGGUCCUCAAAAUGCCUACAGAGAAGGGCGUCCUGACCUUCAGGGGCAAUGUCUACACCGCAUAUACUUGCGAGGAGGAGAGCUUCAAGAUCACUGAAGCAAUCGAUCUUUCAAUUCGCAUGGCAGAAACAGCAGCCCAAGCGGCACAGCUCCCUCACGACCAGCUCCGACUACCCGAGCAGGAGACCGCCAGGAAGAAUUCAAAAUCCAAGGAGUACAAGGAAGUACAGCUGGUUGAAGACAGCCCCGAGAAGAUGGCCCUCAUCGGGGCCAACCUGGAUCCCAAAUAGGAAGACGCGCUCGUCAGGUUUCUAAGGGACAACGUGAGAGUUUUCGCAUGGAAACCCGCAGACAUGCCCGGUGUCCCACGAAACCUGAUCGAGCACUCUUAAAUGUCUCGAAGACCGCAAGACCCAUCAAGCAAAAGCUGCGACGAUUCGCUCGUGACAAAAAGGAGGCUAUUAGGAUAGAAAUAACACGGCUUCUAGCAGCCGGAUUCAUAAAAGAAGUGUAUCAUCCCGAUUGGCUUGCCAAUCCGGUUCUUGUACGCAAAAAGAAUAAUGAAUGGAGAAUGUGCGUUGAUUACACUGACCUCAAUAAACACUGUCCUAAAGUUCCUUUUGGUCUCCCUCGCAUCGACGAGGUGGUCGACUCAACGGCCGGAUGCGAACUCCUCUCUUUUCUAGACUGCUACUCUGGUUAUCACCAGAUCUCGCUAAAGGAAGAUGAUCAGAUCAAAACAUCUUUCAUCACUCGUUUCGGCGCAUACUGCUACACGACCAUGUCCUUCGGACUCAAAAACGCCGGAGCCACCUAUCAACGGGCCAUCCAGCAAUGCCUCCACGACGAGAUUCAUGAUGACCUCGUCGAGGCUUAUGUAGACGACGUCGUCGUCAAAACAAGGGACGCAAGCACCCUAAUCGACAACUUAGACCGAACCUUUAAGGCGCUAAACAAGUACAAGUGGAAGCUUAACCCCAAAAAGUGCAUCUUUGGUGUCCCUUCCGGUCUACUACUCGGCAACGUCGUCAGCCGCGACGGCAUACGACCGAAUCCUUCAAAGGUAAAAGCAGUACUUGACAUGCGACCACCUAAGAAUGUCAAGGAUAUUCAGAAGCUCAAAGGAUGUAUGGCCGCUCUCAGCCGCUUCAUCUCAAGACUAGGAGAAAAAGGCCUCCCUUUCUUCAAACUCUUGAAGGCGUCGGAAAAAUUCUCCUAGACAGAAGAGGCUGACGCUGCGUUCACCCAGCUUAAGACCUUCCUCACCUCACCGCCUGUUCUCACAGCACCUCAACCCAAUGAAGACCUACUUCUUUACAUUGCGGCAACCGACAGGGUUGUCUCCACGGCAAUAGUGGUCGAGCGAGACGAGCCAAGUCACAUCUACAAGGUCCAGAGACCCGUUUAUUUCAUAAGCGAAGUCUUAAACGAGUCCAAGGCCAGAUAUCCACAAAUACAGAAGCUCAUAUACGCCAUUCUUAUAACAUCGAGGAAGCUAAAGCACUACUUCGACCGCCAUCGAGUCUUGGUAACCACCAGUUUCCCUCUUGGGGAUAUUCUGCGCAAUAAAGACGCCAACGGCAGAAUUUUAAAAUGGGCAAUGGAGUUAUGCCCAUUCUCCCUGGAUUUCCAGAGCCGCACAACAGUGAAGUCUCAGGCCCUGGUCGAUUUCAUCGCAGAGUGGACGGACCUCAAUGAGCCUCCCGUUUUCGAUAUCUCCGACCACUGGUCAAUGUUCUUCGACGGGUCCUUGAACAUCAACAGUGCCGGCGCUGGGAUACUUUUCGUGUCGCCUAACAAGGACAAACUGCGUUACGUCCUUAGGAUCCUUUUUCUGGCAUCAAACAACGUCGCCGAGUACGAAGCAUGCCUGCACGACAUACGACUAGCCGUUGAGUUGGGAGUCAAACGCCUCUACGUCUAUGGCGACACCGCCUUAGUUAUCAACUAGCUCAACAAGGAAUGGGACGCAACCCACCAGAAGAUGGAUCUCUACUGCAAAGAAAUCCGCAAAUGGGAAUCCAACUUCUAUGGCAUAGAGUACACUCACGUGGUCCGGGAUAAAAACCAGGCAGUGGAUGUGCUGUCAAAGUUAGGGUCAUCUCGGGCCCAGAUCCCGCGAGGUGUCUUCGUCCAGGACAUCCAUGAGCCAAGUGUGGGCACAGACCUGGUCGAAAAGCAACCUAUUGAGGCAAUGCUCAUAGACGACGUUACUCCGACAACCAGCAACCGUGAUUGGCGCACCCCGUUCAUCAGAUAUAUAUCGGAUGGGUCAGGCUUUCAGGAUAAAAUGGAGAACGAGCGCCUCAUUCGACGAUCAAAGAAUUACAUACUAGUGGACGGCAAACUCAUGCAAAAAAAUGCAAGUUCUGAAGUGCUGCUCAAAUGCAUAUCCCAGGAUGAUGGCAUCAAGCUCCUAGACGACAUACACGCCGGAUCCUGCGGCAACCAUGCUGGUCGGAAAGGCUUUUCGAGCAGGUUUUUACUGGCCAACCGCGGUCACCGACGCAGAAAAACUGGUCCGACAUUGUGAAGGAUGCCAGUUCUUCGCCAAAAGGACCCACGUACCUGCUCAUGAGAUUCAAACUAUCCCGUCAUCCUGGCCUUUCGUCUGCUGGGGUCUCGACAUGAUCGGGCCAUUUAAACCGGCCCCCGGCAACUUUAAGUUUGUCUUCGUAUUAAUUGACAAAUUCUCAAAGUGGAUCGAAUACAUGCCAUUGGUCAAAGCAACCUCUGAUAAAGCUGUGGAAUUCCUCAAUCAAAUCAUACACAGAUUCGGGAUCCCCAACAAUAUAAUCACCGACUUGGGCACUUAGUUCACUGGCACUACGUUUUGGGACUUCUGCGAUGACAGAGGCAUAGUGAUAAAAUACAUGUCAGUAGCCCACCCACGGGCAAACGGUCAAGUGGAGCACGCCAAUGGCAUGAUCAUCGAUGCCCUAAAGAAAAGAUUGUACACCGAGAACGACAGAGCACCUGGUCGAUGGAUGAAAGAGCUACCGGCUGUGGUAUGGGGUCUCCGAACACAGGCUAGUCGGAACACGGGGGUGUCACCCUACUUCAUGGUUUAUGGCACCGAGGCAGUGCUGCCGUCUGAUAUAGCCUUCGGGUCUCCAAGCGUUGAAAACUUUGACGAGUCAACGGCCGACAACGCCAGGGAGCUCGAAAUCAACUGCAUGGAGGAAAAGCGUCUAAAUUCAUGUCUUCGAACAUCAAAGUAUCUUGCAGCCAUCAGACGGUACCACAACAGGAACGUCAAGGACCAUUCUUUCCUGGUCGGCGAUCUGGUACUUAGGUGGAAAACAAGCCAGGAAGGAAUGCACAAGCUAUCCACCCCCUGGGAGGGACCCUUUGUGGUCGCCGAAGUCACACGUCCUAUAUCCUACAGAUUGGCGUAUCCAGACGGAACACGCGUGCCUAAUUCUUGGCACAUAGACAAACUGCGCCGUUUUUAUCCAUAAGUUCCAGUACCUUUUUGCUUGUAAGUUUCUUAUAAUUGGCAAUAAUAAAAGUUUUCCUUUUUCGCUAUACAUUGUUUACACGCAGAGCUUUCGACAAGCAUAGCAAUAUUCCUCUACGACGGAGAUCCUUAACGACUAUCAGUCAAACACAGUGAUACAUCACUCAGAUAACUUUACAGCGCUCAAAAUCAUGGUCAUGACAAAAUCAAACUUUAUUACAAACUUUACAUAUAGAGUUUACAAUAAACACCCUGACGGGCGGUUACUAGUCUACUCCUACAGACUAUCCUACUGGCCUACUGCUCGAGCUGAUCACCCGCCUGGCCUUGCUGCCCAGACGAAGGGGUCGGGGCCACCGGCGCCUGGCUGGUCGAGACCGCAGGCGUCGACCGCCCAUCUCCGGCAAUAGACGCCCCCGAUAACUCCCUGGCCGACCUGUCUGACCCCGGCUGGUCGGGGGGCGUGGCCGUCCCGCAUAGAUUGAUGUCGCCGAUCACCGCUGACGACAAGUCUAGCAGGCCAGCUCGAAGGUCGUCCGCCUCCUGCGGGCCGACUUCCCUGGGGUACCCCCUCUCCAGCCUGGACAAGUCGACCAGGGGAUAAUGGGCGCGCACCAUGCUGAGGACAUGAGCGCCGCCGAACUCCCCGGCGUCCUUAACGAACUGCUGGAGCCAAUCCCACGCCCGUUGCGCCUUCUCGACUGGCGUCAGCUUCGGCGCGCGGCGCUGGUCUUCCGGAAGCUCGGGGCUAAUCAAGUCUAGGACCGGGGCCACUCCUUUCCAAAGCCUAAUACAGUUAGUCUUCCAGGAGUCCCGAUCCUUGACCAACUCAUCUAAGUGCUUCUUGGUAUUUACCUUGAGCACUACAAACCAAGCAGGAGGUCAGUUUAAUAACAAUGAAAGGAACGUCGAGCAGCCAAAUAAAGGAGGGCGGCACGGUUAUUACCAGACAAUUCCCGAUUCCUCUGGCCUAGCUCCUCGCCUGCUCGGCGCCCAGCCUAUAGCGCCCCGGCAAGCUCUUGACCAAGCUGCUCCUUCUCUUGCCGAAGGCGCGCGACCUCCUCCUCUAAGUCUACAUGAACAAUCCCCUGGUCAACAAAACCAACCACGCGGCUACAUACAGCUGCUCGGAGCAUGCGACUGACCUGUCCGCUGCCGAUACUGGUCGGCUAAACGCCGAGUGAGCUCGAGACGAUGCUCUUCCUGGGCGCUCAUCUCGGCCACCUUCUCCCCAACCUCCGACCGUAGCCGGUCCACCUCCGCGGACAGGGCCUUGUUCUCGGCCACAAUACCCUCUAUUUGGUCGAAGCACCUCUUCCGGUACUUUGCCGUUUUCAUUGCGCCCUGCAAGAAGAACAUAUGUCGACCCAGCAAGAUAGCACAAAAGUGUCGAGCAGUGCAAAGGACCACUUACCUUAACUUCGUCCACGAGGCGCUUGGCCGCGCGCUCCACCCUCGCGGCCUCUUCCGUCUCCGCGAGCUCCUCGUGCCCGAUGAAGUGGUCCCCGCGUUGGCGCCACACAUAUACGUGUUGGCGGCCAUCACGGGGACGACCUUCAAUUUCCUCCACGUCGUCAUCAGAGGCCGCCUGGGUUUCCUCGUUCUCUGCACUGCCACCGGCUGUGGUCGCAGGCAUCACUGGCCCCUGGACCAGGCCCGGGGAGCCUACGGACGAAGAGGCUCCUGCCCGGGGUGGCGUUGGGACCCCCCUCUCUUCGGCGGGGGCAGGGGUCGGGACUCUGUCUUCCCCUUCCGCGACGCUACUCGGGGGAGGGGUCCUCGUAGCCUCCUCAUCCCUGGUCGGGCUGCUCACCGCGGUCCUCGCUGAGGCCGGAAGCUCCUCGGCGCUCUCAGCCACGGUUGCCGCCGCGGGCUGCUCCGUGGUCUACGGCGCGGUAUCCUCAGCGCCAGCGGCAGGUCCGGCCACUCUCUGGCCGGCAACGUGGUCAGGAUCGACGUCCGACGCCGUGCUAACAAUAAAACGACAUUUAAACAGUGUCAAAAUGCAGCAAUAAAAUGCAAAAAAUCACAGCACCAAAGUAAGAAUGCAAACUUACAGGUCAGAGCGCCGGUGCGUUGCGGUGAACCGCCUCCUGACUCUACCGGUCGGUGCCUGCGCACCCGUCUCCACGACGUGCGUCGGCUCGACGUGCGGAGCAGGCGGGUCACUGGUCACCCGACCAGUGGUGGCCGGCGCAACAUCCGGACAACUAUGAGGCCUCCGGACCAACGACGGCGCAGCCUCCUCCUCCUCGUCGUCGUCUUCGGCGAUCCAGACGAGCCGACGGCGUUUUGGCGCCUGGCUGCUCUCUGCUGGCAGCGUUGGCGCAGGGGAAGGGUCUGCUGCUAAUGGCCUUUUCCCCGCCACUCUGUCCUCUGUGGUCGGGGCGGGGUGGGCCUGCUCCUCCUCACUGCUGGUGUACCGAGCACACCGAGCAGCGUCGUCCUCCGGCGGAUCUUCCCCCGCGGGAUUCUCCAUCCCAGGUGCCAGUGAUACGUACACUGUGCACCGGUCAACGUCUCCGAUCUGCAACCGUAACAAAGACAAGUCAGCAGCUGGAAAGAACAAGAACUAAGGAGGUACAAUCAGUAAGUAACGUUACCUUAGGAGCUGGUCGCCCCAGCUUGAAGGCCUGCACCCGAUCACUACCACGAAUGAAGCUCCUGUCCGUAAAGUUGAACAGCUCGUUCAACAGCUGCUGCACUUCCGCCUUCUCCAAGACCUCAGGCCUCAUCCUGGUCGGGUCUUGGUUUCCAGCGUACUCGUACGCCGAGUGCACCCUCUUCUGGCAGGGCAUCACCCGACGACAAAUGAAGUUGCCGACCACUCCUAGCCCGUCCAAACGCGACCAGUCGAUCAGCUUCAUCAGGUCCGCUACUUGGCCGUCGAACUCUGGGCGGUCGGUCCAACUGACCCUCUUCUAGGGGAUGUACCCCACGUCGUAGAACGUGGAGCUGCCCGGCUCUUCCCUGACAUAGAACCACUUCCUGUACCAUUCGGUAAGAGAAGUGUUCCAUGGGCAGCUUAGAUACCGGUUCUUCAUCCCGUCACGAAGAUUGAGGUAUACUCCACCUGCAAUCUUGGAGCCUCCAACCCCCCCCUUUUUCCUCAAACAGAAAAGAUAACAGAACAGAUCGAAGUGCGGCUCUAUUCCAACAUAGGCCUCGCACAGAUGAAUGAAAGUGGAAAUGAGAAGGAUUGAGUUCGGGUGCAGAUUGCAGAUCCUGAUCUCAUAGUACAAGAGAAGCCCCUGGAGAAAAGGAUGGACAGGAACCCCAAAACCCCUCUUGCAAAAAUCUUCGAACACUACAAUCUCACCGGCACGAGGGUUGGGAUAGCUCUCCCCCUCUGGCGCCCUCCAGCCGCCGAGCUCUGGGCUGUGCAGUAGCCCCAUGUCGACGAGGUCAUUGAGGGACUUCACACUGCUUCGGGACCUUUUCCAUUCCUUGGCCAUCAGCUCGGCCCUCUUCUUGGAGUCGCUCUUCGCCAUUGAUGAUUACAGGAGUGACUACGAGCUGGGUUGCAGGUGGUUGUAGAAGGCAAGAGCGGAAAGCUUGAAGGCGAUGGCAGAGUAAGCAAUGUGGGGGUACUGUCAGGCUUUUAUAAACCACAACCCCACCCCUCCCACUUCCCGCAUUCUUGGGAAGUGGGCGGGCCCAGCGGCGGACGCGGCGCUUCGGUUUUCAAUAAUUAUCGGCAGUUAAUGCGGUGGCCUUUUCCUAUAAUUGAUGUUUUCCUUUUCUCAAACCGCGCAAAGGGUGGCUGCGCAGUUACCAUGCGCAACUUUUCACGCAACCACCUGACAAUACGUCAGGAGGUCUCGUCACGUCAAUCAUUUACGUGGUAAGAUGUUUUCUUCAAAAUAACAGACAAAAAUUGGUGGAGGGUCAACAUUCCUGGGGACUGUGCCGACCACCGAGCACUAUAUGCGAAGUGGACUGGUCGCCCAGUCUGUCAAUUUAGGGACUGCACCGACCACCGAGCACUGAAUUCUCGGGGACUGGUCGCCCAGUCUGCCAUCUCGGUAAUCUGGGGACUGCACCGACCACCGAGUACUGUAUGCUCGGGGACUGGUCGCCCAGUCUGUCAGCUCGGGAAUCUGGGGGCCGUACCGACCACCAAGCACUGUACGCUCGGGGACUGGUCGAUCAGCCCGCCAGAUUGAUAAGUCUAUCCGAUAGUAAACGAGUAUGAGAUGCUCGGGGACUGGAUAAUUUUAAUUUUUUAGACUUUGCUACAAGGUUCAUACUUCGCCUUCCAGCAAGCUCGGGGACUACAUCGGUACGAUGCAUCUGGCGAUGCAUCUCAGUUUCAAAAUCUCUUUGAGGAAUUUUCUUUUGACCCUGGCACCACGUGCCUACGUGACCUACUGCCAGCCUCGGGGACUAAGUGGGCACACUUCACCUUGCGGUGAAUAUGCUAGCUUUCUGAAAGGCUAUACUUUUCAAAAAAGUAAAGUGGGCACACUUCACCAGGAAAGAAAUCUUUUUUGAUUAAGAGCACCAUGCAUUCUUCGAACAACCUACUUCUUCGAUGCCAGUUUUGGUCAACUAUCUUUGAAGUUGGUCAGAAUGUCAUUACAGCUGUUUAGGCAGCUUUUCUACUUAUUGAAGAUGUCAAGUUUCACUGAUCGAAGAAGCUCAAGACGGCGUAUUACUUCACAAUACAUGGUGCUCGAGGACUAACUGUGGGGGUAUAGACCCCUAUACCCUUACGGCUAGACUUAGGCCAGGAGGCUUGGCCCAUUACGAGACAAGUUUGAAGCUUGAUCCGACAGCUUAGAGUUUCGCACAAGGAAGCAAGAUGUGGAGAUCAAGCAGGAUUCUAGUCGGUUAAAAUAGAAAUUGUUAUCGAACUAUCUAUGGCAAUUGUAACCGACUAGGAUUAGUUUCUAGAUCUGUAACCCUGCCCUCCGGACUAUAUAAGGAGAGGCAAGGGACCCUCCUAGGACAUCAUUAUUCUCUCAACACAAAUCAAUACAACCAGACGCAGGACGUAGGUAUUACGCCAGCUCGGCGGGCCGAACCUGGAUAAAAAGCUUGUCCGUGUCUUGCGUCACCAUCGAGUUCGUAGUUUGCGCACCGUCCACCGAUAAACUACUACCGUGGGUAUAUCCCAAGGUAGACUGCCGACCAGCUUUCGUCGACAAUAACCCUUCAGGGCUCUCGGUUGCUUGUUAUAUAGAGCCGGGAAUAGCCCAACUGGCAUGGCAUACAAGAUAAGGUUUGUUACAACAGAAUCUCAACAAACUAACACACAAGCAACCAUGUACAAGACCUGAUACAACACGUCAACUAACUUACUGACUAACUAGGGAAGAUAUCAACCGAAUAUCUUUAACAAACUGUGGUAAGGAUUAAGGAAUGGCAAGCUUUGGAGCCCAGCAGCCCACCUAAUUAAGGUACUAGCACUAGCAGUGCGGGUUCGAGCUGACGAGCGGGAAAUCCUGCGGCAUAUAGGCCUUGUUUAGUUACCAAUAAAUUUUGCAAAAUUUUUCAGAUUUUCCGUCACAUCGAAUCUUUAGACGCAUGCAUAUAGUAUUAAAUAUAGACAAAAAUAAAAACUAGUUGCACAGUUUGGUCGGAAUUGACGAGACGAAUCUUUUAAGCCUAGUUAGUCCAUGAUUAGAUAAUAUUUGUCAAAUAUAAACGAAAGUGCUAUAGUGUUGAUUUCCCAAAAAUUUUUGGAACUAAACAAUGCCUAUCUAGCGGCGUAGGUGAAUGUUAUGGCGGCGACGCAGCAAAAGCGACCUUCUCGGCGGAUUUCAGAGCUUCCGGUUCAUGAAUAAGGAUUCAGGUAACUGUAUGUUAGGAAGAAGAGAAAAAUACGAAACUACCCUAAGAAUGUUUAAUUACAUUUUUUCAGAUCAACAGCUGUCAAUUUUUUUUAGCGGCAUCUGAGGGAGCCUUUCGCCACGUAGGCUGAGGCCAGCAGUCGAAGACGGGCGUGAGCGUGCCGCUGGCUCCAGAACGGAGGGGAUGGCGUUGCUGCCGAUUGGACAUACCCCGUGGGAAUGCCGUUGCUGCCGAUUGGACAAACCCCGCACUAAGGAUGGCAGCGGGACAGUUUCAUGUCGGAUAUCCGCAGGUUUUGGUUCUCGUGGGUUCGGCGGGACAGUUUCAUGUCGGAUAUCCGUAGGUUUUGGUUCUCGCGGGUUCGGAUUUGAGGAUGAUUUUUCAUUCAUGGUUUUCGGGUUCGGUUUCGGGUUUGGUUCCACUCGUAGAUAUCCAAUGAAUAUCCGAAAUAAAUCAUUAGAAUUAAUUUUCAUAUUUUAUAAUAUGAUAAUAAUAACGUGUUCACUUAGAUUAUUAAGUUUAUUUUAAGCUAACUCAUGAAAAUAUUUAUUUUUAUUGCCUCUUGUUUAUAAAUGUAAAUAUGUGUAUAUAUAUCAUGUAUAUAUUUAUAGAAAGUCCUUCUUGUUAUUAUUAUGUUGACAUAAAAAGCAGGUUUCGAGUAUUCGCGGAUUUGGUUUUAGGGAUGGAUUAUCAUCCGAAUCGAUGUUCGGUGCAGUUUCGGAUUUCGAUUUCGGGUUUUGAGUUUGGAAGCACAUAGACUUCACCCGAUCCGAAUCUGCCCCGUUGCCAUCCUUACCCCGUACCCACUGGGCAUACCCGUACCCAUGGUUUUGGAUACGGGUAAUCGGUAAUCCAUGUUCUCGCUUCUGGCGCAUGGGCAUCGCUACACUAAAGCAGGGUGUCACGUCUACGCGUGACGCCAGUAGGCUUAUCAGGAAUGCAUUCAACAUUAAUUUAUAUUGUGUCUCAUUUUUUUCAAGCUUCUAAAUAUUAAUUUUAUUUGGAUUUGUUGUAUGUCAAACACUCUAUGUUUUUUAGCAUUUUUUUAAAAAAACUUAGAUGUACUUAUCAAAUAUUUAUGGUUUUAUAGUAAUAACUCAAAAAGACAGCAUUCCAAACUACUUCAAACCAAGAUAAGAAGGUGACUCGAAUGGUUUUGACGGUUUGGAGAUGGAGGGUGUGAGAUGUUUGGUUUUUGGGAGGAAGAUAGAACAUACUUUUUCGUUUUAGGUAGGGCCAACCGAGGCAGCAGAGGCGAUAAGAGGACGGGUAAUAAUACAUCCGGCUGCCGAUGGUAUGGAUUUUUAUAGGAUCUCUGAGCCUAUAGUGAAUUUUUCACUAUUAAUAUAUGGUCCACUUGUCUUCACCCACAAAGUUUCUUGCUUGUUGUGUUUAAGUUGGCUAUAAGUUUAUAAUCUGCUUCUCCUCCCUCACUUCCUCUCUCCUUCACCUCAACAUAUAACCUACCUACUACUUGCUCUGAUUGUUCGAAUGUGCCGAUCGUUGGACGGAAUACGAAAAUGCUAUCUAUCUUUCUCGAGAAGGUGAUCUCCACGUAACCAUGUCAUAAAAUACAGGAGUAGUCUUUUUUUUUUUGACCUGGGCUCGUUUUAAGAGCAUAUCCACCACUAUAGAACAGGCCUUUGGUCACUUACCCAAAAUGAACAAUAAUCUCGGCCAAAACAGAGUCCGGGACAAAAAAAUAAUUAGUCCCGGUUGGUGAGACCAACCGAGACUAAAAGUCCCCUGCCCAACGGCUAUUAUGACAGACAUCGGCAGAGGGGACUUUUAGUCCUGGUUGGUCUCACCAACCGGGACAAAAGCCUAGCCUUUAGUCCCGGUUGGUACCACCAACCGGGAUUAAAAGCUUUUGUCCCGGUCCGUCCCACCGGCCGAGACUAGUGUUGGAAUUUAGUCCCGGUUUUUAAAAGGAACCGGGAUUAAAUGUCCCUCCCCAUAUUUGAACUCUUCUUCCCGUGGCCGAGCCCAUCGAUCUUCACUCUUUUGCUGUGUUCUUCAUUUGGAGUUGCUUGUUCUAGCUUGCUCUCAUCUCCGGCUAUUGAUUCAUUUCAUCGUUUCUACACCGUCAUCGACUUGUUAAGAGGUCACUAGCUUCAUCUUCUCAAUAUUUAGAAGCGGCGUAUGUCAUUUCCUAGUGUUAUGUAUAUUAUUUUUUAUUUUAUGGUUUUUUUAAGAGGUUAUUAGCUUCAUCGCCAUUUCAAAAGCGACGCGUUUUUUAGAGAAAUAGUGGUAAUAUGUUUUUUAUUUUAAUUAGUUUAGAAAAAAAAUAAAAACAUAUAAUACUUUAAUUUGCAAUUUUUGACCGAUUUAGUUAGUUAAUUAUAACUAGUAUACAUACCACAUUUCAUGAUUAUUUAAGAAAAUAGAGAAUUUUUGUGCUUUUUUAAUUUAGCUUGUUUAGAAAAAAUAGAAAUAUAGAAUUUUAGGUUUUUUGUUACUUUAAUUUCUCUAUUAAAAAUAAAAACAUAUAAUACUUUAAUUUGCAAUUUUUGACCGAUUUAGUUAUUUAAUUAUAACUAGUAUACAUACCACAUUUCAUGAUUAUUUAGGAAAAUAGAGAAUUUUUGUGCUUUUUUAAUUUAGCUUGUUUAGAAAAAUUAGAAAUAGAGAAUUUUAGGUUUUUUGUUACUUUAAUUUCUCUAUUAAAAAUUAGAAACUUAUAAUACUUUAAUUUGCACUUUAUGACAUGGUUAAUUAGUUAAUUAUAACUAGUAUGCAUGCCACAUUUCAUGAUUAGUUAGAAAAUAGAGAACUUUUAUGUCUUUUUAAUUUUGUUGGUUUAGAAAAACCAGAAAUAGAGAAUUUUAGGUUAUUUGUUACUUUAAUUUCUUUAUAAAAGAUUAGAAACUUAUAAUACUUUACAUUGCAAUGCAGACAAUGACACGUCAUUGGAUGUACAAUGUCGAUCGCCGCUCCAAAGAAUUCAUUGAUGGUGUGCAUUAUUUCUUAAGAGUGGCCGAGGAAAACAAGCGGGAUGGAUUCAUAUGUUGCCCAUGUGCCUUGUGUCAGAAUUUGAAGGAAUAUUCUAGCUCUAGAAAUAUUCACUCACAUUCGUUGAAGUCGGGUUUUAUGCCAAACUAUAUUUGUUGGACCAAGCAUGGAGAAAACGGGAUAAUGAUGGAAGAAGGUGAAGAAGAACAGUUGGAGCCUGACGACAUUAUUGCUCAAUACGGUGACUUCGGUGAUACAGCAAUGGGAGAAGCUGAAGAUGAGGCAGAUGCAGAAGGCGCACCUGUUGAAGAUGAUGCUCUUGGUGAUGUCAUUCGUGAGGCACAAAAAGAUUGCGAAAGUAAAAAAGAGAAGACAAAGUUUGACCACAUGUUAGAAGAUCACAAGAAAUUAUUAUACCCAUCUGCCCAGGAUGGGCAAAAAAAACUGGGUACAACACUAGAACUGUUAAAAUGGAAGGCACAGAAUGGUGUAUCCGAUAAGGCAUUUGGGCAAUUACUGAAGAUCAAAAAAAAAAUACUGCCAAAGCCUAAUGAACUGCCCACUACUACGUACGAAGCAAAACAGAUCGUCUGUCCUUUGGGAUUAGAAAUCAAGAAGAUACAUGCAUAUCCUAACGACUGCAUCCUAUACCGUGGCAAGGACUACGAGAAUUUAGAUGAAUGCCCCGUAUGUAAAGCAUCACGGUAUAAGAUCAGGCGAGAUGACCCUGGCGAUGUUGAGGGGGAAGAACGUCCCAGAAAAAAAAUUCCUGCAAAGGUUAUGUGGUAUGCUCCUAUAAUACCACGUCUGAAAGGUCUUUUUAGAAAUAAGGACCAUGCAAAAUUAUUGCGGUGGCACAAAGAAGACCGUAAAGUAGACAACAUGUUGAGACACCCUGCUGAUGGGUCCCAGUGGAGAGCAAUAGACAGGGAAUUUCCAGAGUUUGCAAAAGACGCAAGAAACUUAAGGUUCGCUUUAAGUACGGACGAUAUGAAUCCUUUUGGUGAGCAAAGCAGUAGUCAUAGCACUUGGCCUGUUACACUAUGUAUCUACAACCUUCCUCCAUGGUUAUGCAUGAAGCGAAAGUUCAUUAUGAUGCCGGUGCUCAUACAAGGCCCGAAGCAACCGGGCAAUGACAUUGAUGUCUAUCUAAGGCCAUUAAUUGAAGAACUCCUUCUUUUAUGGAGUGAAACAGGUGUUCGUGUGUGGGAUGAGUACAAACAGGAACACUUCGACCUACGAGCACUGUUGUUUGUGACAAUCAAUGAUUGGCCUGCUCUAAGUAAUCUUUCAGGGCAGACAAACAAGGGAUAUAAUGCAUGCACACAUUGUUUUGAUGACCUUGAUAGUAUAUAUUUGAAAAAAUGCAGAAAGGUCGUGUACCUUGGGUAUCGUCGGUUUCUUUCUAUGAAUCACCCAGUUAGAAAGAAAGGAAAGCAUUUUAAAGGUAAGGCAGACCACCGAUGCAAGCCUCGCAAUAGAACUGGAGAAGAUGUAUUUGAGAUGGUUAAGGAUGUGAAAGUAGUUUUUGGUAAGGGACAAGGCAGCCAACCAGUUCCAAAAGAUGCAGCGGGUCAUGCACCCAUGUGGAAGAAGAAGUCAAUAUUUUGGGAGCUACCCUAUUGGCAAGUCCUAGAGGUUCGGAAUGCGAUCGACGUCAUGCACCUAACAAAGAAUCUUUGUGUGAACCUUCUAGGAUUCAUGGGUGUAUAUGGUAAGCCUAAGGAUUCACUUGAAGCACGACAAGACUUGCAACGCAUGGAAGAACGAGACAACCUGCAUCCAGAGAAGACAGAUGAUGGACGCCAAUAUUUAAGACCUGCUAGCUACACUCUUAGCAAUGAAGAGAAAGAAAUCAUGUUUGAAUGCUUAAGCAGCAUCAAGGUCCCAUCUGGAUUCUCCUCUAAUAUAAAAGGUAUAAUUAAUGUGCCUGAGAAGAAAUUUCUGAACUUAAAGUCGCAUGACUGCCAUGUGCUUAUGACGCAAUUGCUUCCAGUUGCAUUAAGAGGAAUUCUACCUCCACAUGUACGUCUGGCCACCGUAAAGCUAUGUGCAUUCCUCAAUGCAAUUUCUCAGAAGGCAAUCAAUCCACUAGAACUAGCUGCUCUACAGAAUGAUGUGGUUCAAUGUCUUGUCAGCUUUGAGUUAGUGUUCCCACCAUCCUUCUUUGAUAUCAUGACACACCUCCUAGUUCAUCUGGUCAAGGAGAUCAAUAUUCUGGGUCCUGUGUUCCUACAUAAUAUGUUUCCCUUUGAGAGGUUUAUGGGAGUUCUCAAGAAAUAUGUUCACCAACGUGCUCGGCCAGAAGGAAGCAUCGCCGAGGGCUAUGGGACAGAGGAGGUCAUUGAGUUCUGUGUUGAAUUCAUUCCUGAACUUGACCCAAUUGGUGUUCCUGAAUCACGCCACGAGGGGAGACUGAGUGGAAAGGGAACACUAGGAAAGAAAACAUACAUCGGUACGGGGGACGAUUCUUUUAAUAAAGCACACUACACAGUUCUUCAAAACUCAUCCGUGGUGGAGCCGUAUGUCACGAAACACAAGGACUUCCUACGAUCGCAAUUCCCAGAGAAGUAUGAAGGUUGGCUUAUGCGUCAGCACAUAGACACUUUCAGUGAUUGGUUACGAAAAGAAUGUCAGGGUAAUGACCAGAUUGAUGAGCAACUGUAUUUGUUGGCUAGGCAACCAUCAUGGCACAUCCUCACGUACAAAGGGUACGAGAUAAAUGGAAAUACAUUUUACACCCUAGGCCAAGAUAAAAGAAGCACGAACCAAAAUAGUGGAGUUCGCGUAGACGCCAUAGACCCGAAUGGAAACAGACAAACAUAUUAUGGUCGUAUAGAGGAGAUUUGGGAACUAGACUACGCACCUAAUUUUAAAAUCCCUUUGUUCCGGUGCCAAUGGGUGAAGGUUACCGGAGGCGGGGUGACAGUUGACAAAGACUAUGGAAUGACAACAGUGGACCUCAACAAUGUUGGUUACAAAGAUGAACCAUUCGUCCUUGCUGCUGAUGUGAAUCAGGUGUUCUAUGUGAAAGACAUGUCUACAAAACAGAAGAGAGGGAAAAAUGACAACAAAUCAACAAACGAGCCAAAACGCCAUAUAGUUCUCUCAGGGAAAAGAAACAUUGUGGGAAUUGAGGACAAGUCAGAUAUUUCAGAAGAUUAUGAAAGGGAUGACCAAAUCACGCCUUUCAAUGUGACCAAAGAUCCGAGCAUACUGAUAAAUGCUGAGGACACUCCAUGGUUACGUCAAGAUCAUGACCAAGGAACAUACGUCAAAAAGAAGAUCACUAUUGUGCCCGCCUAAUAAAUAGAUUACAAUAUAGUAUGUGUAUGUGACAAUUGUAACUUAAGAUGUUUAUAUUAGUUUUUCUUAUUUUAUAUCAUUUCAAAUAAUGAAAUGACAUUUAAGUUUGCUAUUAUAAUAGAUGUGUCAAUUAUUUGUCAAAUACAAAAAUAGUCAAACUUGGUCAAAUGACAAACUAAAUUACUUAAAAUGAAAAAAUUAUGAAUACCAAUUUGUUAGAUAUCAUCAAGAUCUAAACUUUUUAUAUAGACAACUUUUCUAUUUGAGAAAGUUUAAGUUCACAAUACCCACCAAUUUUUGAAUCUCACACAAACUAUAUGAAACUACAUGUGUCAAUUGUGGAUUUUGAACUACACCUUCGCAACACUUUGUCAAAUGCAAAAAUGGUCUAUAUAUUAAAUGUAGAUUUUGAUGAGUGGAACAAUAUUGAUAUUCAUGACUUUUCCGUUCAAGACCAUCUAGGGUUCCGAAAAACCAUGCGUGGCUAUGAAUUCUAUCAAAAUUCAAAAUUGAGUGGUUCAAACUUUUCCAAAAGAAAAGUUGACCAUUAGACAAAAUGUAGAACUUGAUGUGUGCAACAAACUUUGUAUUCAUUACUUUUCCAUUUGGGACCAUAUAGGGUUCGGUCAAAGUGUGUGUUUCUAAAAACCAAUGCUUUGACUUUGGUCAAACUUGGUCAAAUGACCCAUUUGAUGACUUGAAAUGAAAAAAAUUUGAAUACAAAGUUGUUAGAGAUCAUCAAGAUCUACAUUUGAUAUAUUGUCCAUUUUUCCAUUUGGAUAAAUUUGAGCCAAUCCUAAGCACAUUUGUUCAAAAUCCAAGACGGGUAUUGGUCAAACUUGGUCAAAUGACAAACUAAAUUACUUAAAAUGAAAAAAUUUUGAAUACCAAUUUGUUAGAUAUCAUCAAGAUCUAAGCUUUUUAUAUAGACAACUUUUCUAUUUGAGAAAGUUUAAGUUCACAAUACCCACCAAUUCUUGAAUCUCACACAAACUAUAUGAAACUACAUGUGUCAAUUGUGGAUUUUGAACUACACCUUCGCAACACUUUGUCAAAUGCAAAAAUGGUCUAUAUAUUAAAUGUAGAUUUUGAUGAGUGGAACAAUAUUGGUAUUCAUUACUUUUCCGUUCGAGACCAUCUAGGGUUCCGAAAACCCAUGCGUGGCUAUGAAUUCUAUCAAAAUUCAAAAUUGAGUGGUUCAAACUUUUCCAAAAGAAAAGUUGACCAUUAGACAAAAUGUAGAACUUGAUGUGUGCAACAAACUUUGUAUUCAUUACUUUUCCAUUUGGGACCAUAUAGGGUUCGGUCAAAGUGUGUGUUUCUAAAAACCAAUGCUUUGACUUUGGUCAAACUUGGUCAAAUGACCCAUUUGAUGACUUGAAAUGAUAAAAUUUGAAUACAAAGUUGUUAGAGAUAAUCUGAUGUAAUGGUCAAUAUUGUUGUAAGCAUAAAUAAAUAAGAAAUAGAGAAAAAAUUUUAAAAAAUAAUUCGAUGUAAUGGUGAAUAUCACGUAUAUCAUGAUUUUGGAGAUAAAUGAUGAUAAAUAAACAAAAUUUACGUUUAAAUAUUGCACAAACAAAUUUUUGUAUCAAAAACAUCUGCUUUAAGAUAUUAAAAUUAAAUAAUAAAUUUUUCCAUUAACAAAAUACUAAUUAUUUUUAGGGUUUAAGUUUGUUAAUAUAAGUGAUGAAAAGAUUUUAUGUUUCCAAAUUUAUUAUGUAACCAAUUAGACAAAAUGAAAUGAAACUAUUAUUUUUUAACAAAUUAAUACCUAUUAUUCUAUUUACUAUGCAGUUAACAACAUUAAUCUAAUUAUUGUAUGCAUAAAUAAAUAAGGAACUGAAAAAAUACAUUUAGUCCCGGUUCCUAGCUAGAACCGGGACUAAAGGAUACCUUUAGUCCCGGUUCUGGCCAGGAACCGGGACUAAAGGGUGAACCUUUAGUCCCGGUGUGUAGUACCAACCGGGACUAAAGACCUUUUAGUCCCGGUUGGUGCUACGUACCGGGACUAAAGGUCCCACGGGGUAUUUAACCGAGCAGUCGUCUUCCUCCUGGAUCUCGUUGCCCUAAUUCUUCAUCCGCCGCGCGCCGCUCCUCCCCGCUGUCGCCUCGCCCUCGUCCCCGGCCGAGCGCCGUCGUCUGGAGCCCAGGAGCGUCGCCGCUGCCACUGCAACCGAGGAGCGCCCCCACCGCCACCGCCACCGAGCCGAGGAGCGCCCCCACCACCACUUCUUCUCCGGCGCCGACGCUUCUAUCUCCGGCGACUGUACCGGCGCCGACGCUUCUUCCUCCUUGCCCUCAUCGCCCCCGCGGCCACCUCCUCGCCCUCGUCAGAGCGCCCCCACGGCCGCCUCCUCGCCCUCGUCAGAGCGCCCCCGGCCGUCGCUCUCCUCCCCGGCCAGAGAACUCGCGCCGCCGUCGUCGAGGGUGAGCACGUACACAGAGAAAAAAUGAUUAUUGAUGAUGUGUUGUAUGAAUUGUUGAUUUGUUGUAUGAAUGAGAUGUGAUAUGUUGUAUGGAUGAGAUGAUUUUAGGCCUUGUUUAGUUCCAAAAUUUUUGGCAAAAUGAGCACUGUAGCAAUUUCGUUUGUAUUUGACAAAUAUUGUUCAAUCAUGGACUAACUAGGCUCAAAAGAUUCGUCUCGUCAAUUCUGACUAAACUGUGCAAAACUAUGAAUCGGUUCCCAAACGCAGGCCCACGAGAAAUACGUACCUCUCGCCAAAACGUACUCCUACAUCUACACUUGUUGUAAGCCGAUCGACGAAACACAUGCGCUCACGAAACGUACACUUUUUAAAAAUCAAACAAUUCAAAAUUUUUAUGACAUUUCUAUAAAAGAUAUAAAUAUUAUUAGAUUAAUUAUUUAUAUAUUUUUAUACUAUAAAUUUACUUGAGACAAUUAAAAACCUUGUUUUGUAUCCAGUGUUGUAAUUAGUUAGUAGGGAUAGAUAUUGAGAUGAGAUGUAUAAUUUCUAUUUUAUAAUUUAUCUUUUGUAUUAUAUAAUUUAUAUGAUAUAAUUUAUCCUAUGUUGUAAUUAGUUAGUAGGGAUAGAUAUUGAGAUGAGAUGUAUAAUUUCUAUUUUAUAAUUUAUCUUUUGUAUUAUAUAAUUUAUAUGAUAUAAUUUAUCCUAUGUUGUAAUUAGUUAGUAGGGAUAGAUAUUGAGAUGAGAUGUAUAAUUUCUAUUUUAUAAUUUAUCUUUUGUAUUAUAUAAUUUAUAUGAUAUAAUUUAUCAUGUGUUGUAAUUAGUUUGUGGGGAUAGAUAUUGAGAUGAGAUGUAUAAUUUCUAUUUUAUAAUUUAUCUUUUGUAUUAUAUAAUUUAUAUGAUAUAAUUUAUCAUGUGUUGUAAUUAGUUUGUGGGGAUAGAUAUUAAGAUGAGAUGUAUAAUUUUUAUUUUAUAGUUUAUCUUUUGUAUUAUAUAAUUUAUUUGAUAUAAUUUAUCAUGUGUUGUAAUUAGUUUGUGGGGAUAGAUAUUGAGAUGAGAUGUAUAAUUUUAUUUUAUAGUUUAUCUUUUGUAUUAUAUAAUUUAUAUGAUAUAAUUUAUCAUGUGUUGUAAUUAGUUAGUAGGGAUAGAUAUUGAGAUGAGAUGUACAAUUUGUAUUUUAUAAUUUAUCUUUUGUAUUAUAUAAUUUAUAUGAUAUAAUUUAUCCUAUGUUGUAAUUAGUUAGUAGGGAUAGAUAUUGAGAUGAGAUGUAUAAUUUGUAUUUUUUAAUUUAUCUUUUGUAUUAUAUAAUUUAUAUGAUAUAAUUUAUCUUAGUUGUUGUAUCGAAUAUUGUCUAAGUUUUAACACUUGAUUAAAUUUGCAGAAAUGGCCAAUCCGAAUGACAACAUGGAUGAUGCAAUGAUGGACCUAAUCAACAGCGGUGCCAAUCCAGAUCCCCAAGGCGAAGAUGAUGGGAGUCAAUACUUUGUUGAUUAUGAAGAACUUAUGGGAGACAAUCCUGAUCAGGUCUAUCUACAAUCUAGUAUAUAUGUAUAUAUAUGAAAUUAAAAUAAAUGACAUUUAUACUAAUAUAUUUAUACUUGUUUGUGUAGCCCUCUAAAUCGGCGACAACUUCUGAGAAGAGUAGAAAAGUGCGCGGCCCGAAGAAGCCGUUGGAGGGUCGGUACAUUCUGUCGGAAUUCGAUGAGGGUACAGGACAAGUACUUGGAGCUUCUAAAAAAUUUGUUGCGCACUGUGGCUACCUUGUAAGGGACAGGCUCCCGGUCAGUGCUCGUGAAUGGAGGCAACGGAAAGAUAACCCUAAUAUUAGUUUUGUCUCAGAUCGUGACAAGGAAUUGAUUUGGUAAGAUAUCCUUCAACAUUUCACGCUCGAUACACAGGAUGAAGCUUUGAAGGAGAAGGUUAAAAUCUGGGCUAUGCAGAAGAUGGCCAAACAAUUUCAGGCUUGGAAGAAGACAUUAUACAAGACUUUUGUUGCACAAGGCCGGACACCAGAUUUCACCAACAAGGCCUACGUCAAGUUGAGGCCUUUUUGGGAUGAGUUCGUAGAGUUUAAGAACUCAGAAGAGGGUCAGUCACGGAUGAUCAAGAAUCAAGAAAAUGCUAAACAAAAGCAAUACCACCAUCACUUGGGUUCAGGUGGCUACAGGACUGCUAUUCCUAAGUGGCAAAAGCUGGAACAGGAGAUUCUUGGGAGAGGGAUCGAACCAGAAUCAAUGCACUGGCCCGAACGCGCCAAGUAUUGGUUCUUUGGUCAUGGGGAACCAUAGACCUAGAGACCGGAAAGAUAGUGUACGGCGAAAAGCUCGAGAGAGUAGGACAAAGAAUGGCCUAUGCUAGAGGAUUAGUUGAAAGCGGCACCUGGCAGCCAAAUAGAGAAAAGGAUGAGCUGACAUACGCCCUGGAGACUGCUGAACAUGGUGGGCGAACCAGAGGCUAUGGGGAGAUAUCAUGGGAGCAUGGCUUCCCUAAAGAUAGACCGACUUAUAGAAGCCGCCAACGAAAGAAGGAAGAGGAAGCAGAGCGGUUGCAUAGGUUGGAGGCAAUGGUGAUUGAGUCACGCGAAGCAGCUCGUGAAGCGAUAGCGCGAGAGAAAGCGCUUGAAGAGAGAAUGAACGAGGAGAUCAAAAGACAAGUGCAGAUUGCAGUAAGUUCUAUACAAGGGCAAACUGCAUCAGAGCCUAGAGUCAACAUUAGCCCCCCCGGUCUGUUGAAAAGUAGUUGCGCUUCCACAGAGAUGCCAACUAUUCAAGACGACGUGGGGCUGCACUUUCCGGUGGAUGACAUCACUGAGCCUCUGACAACAUGUGAGCUGCACAUUCCACAGGGGACUGCCACAGUCAUGGUUGCUGUCGCUGUUGUAACUCUUGUCGACCCUACAAGGACACCAAGAAUCCAUGGGGCGAUAAUUCCACCUGGAUAUGCUAGUGUCUCGGUGGAUAGAGUUGUCAAAGGCUUCAGUAAUGUGCAGCUUGAGAUAGAAGGAGGUGAUGGAGAGAAGACUCUAGGAGAAGCAGAGAAGACUUUUAUUUAUUGGCGCAAGCGCUACAUCAUUAUUCCUGGGGCAUCACCUAGUAGUCUACCACCACCUCCUCGUCAUGAAUCUAAUCCUAGGUGCGGAUGAAAAUUGACUAUACAUUUGUUCACUAUAUUUAUUUUGCAUUCUCUUAGUUAGCGGUUUACUCAUAUACCUUUUAUUUUCACAGGUGGUCACCGACAUGUCAUAGUGCUGCGGGUGAUGACGAGGGAGUGCAAGACAUGGCUGCAUCGCCUCGGUCUCCAACGCCACCACCUAGGGCUCCAACACUGCCACCUCGGGCUCCAACACCACCACGUAGAGCUCCAACGCCACCUAGGGCUCCAACGCCGCCUCCUCGGGCUCCAACACCGUCACCGGCCGCCCCAUCGCCUCCACACGUGGCUCCAGCACGAAAGAAGAGGCCGGCCACAAAAUCAAAUGUGUCGGCCGCCCCGCCGCCAAAAAAGAAAGCCUCCGAAAAGAAACAAGCUAUCAUUCCUAAGAAGCUGUCCUAUGAUCAGAUGACUGAUGCAGAAAUAAAUGCUUCAGUUAAAUCAGAUGUGGAUAGUUUCUUCAAGAAACUUAAGACUGAAAGAGAAGCCAAGCGAAACCCUGAGAAGCCGUACCUCUUACUACGGCCAGAAGAUCUACGACAAAGGGUUGAGGCUGAACAAAAAAAGAGGCGUGAAGCUCAGAAAGAAUCAUCAUCUUUAUCAGACUAUGAUCGCACUUUAAGAAAAUCCAUAGAAGAAGAGAAGAACAAAGAGAAAAGAGCACGCAAGGGUGUAGCACAGCUCGGGGAACAAUCAAAGCAAUCAGUGCCCCCGCUAGUCAUUGGAAAUGAAUAUGGUUCAAACAUUGACGUGCUAGACCAACAGAUACCGGCAGAUUUAAAAAUUGAAGAGCUUGAAUUUUUUUUUGCGGAAACUGGUCUUAGCUUAGCCCAAAUGAUAGCGGAGGCACCGAUUGAAAGUGCUCCACAAAUUGAUCAUUGGCAGAAGGAAUAUACAUAUGGCAAGAGUUUAUACAACCCUGCGGCCCUCAGCAAGCUUGGAACGCAAAUGUACAUGCUAAACAAAUGGUACAUGGAAGCGUGUGCCAGAAAAGCUGAUGACUAUAUUUGUGUCCGAAUUAGAAACUAUCAUUACUUCCGUGGUGAUGAUAUUAUUUAUGUUCAAUUUAAUGAGCUACAACAACUAUGCCACAUGGACGCUCUUGACAAAUCUCUAAUGAGUUGCUUCUGUCUGUAAGUGAUUCUUCCUUUCAAUAAUGUCUCUGUAACUUAUCAUGUAUAUAUAUAACUAAUUACAGAAACCCGCUAUACAUAUGCAGAAACAUGAUGAGGGAUCUCAGAGUUAGAAAUGACAAGGAGAUUGGAUUUGUGGAUCCAAAUAUUGUAUUCAAAGACCACAAGACCCCGUAUGUUUUAUGGAGAACUCAAACGGAGAGAAAUUUAUGGAGAUUCUUGAUCAACCAAAAAGAUAAAAGAUAUAUACUCUUUCCCUACAACUUUAAGUAAGUGUCGUUAUCGUGUGUACAUUCUAUUUAACUAAUUAUUCAGAUCAAUAUGAAGAUAUAUACUAAUUUUGCCUACAUAUGCACACAAAUGCAGCUUUCAUUGGAUACUAAUUGUCAUUGAUCUCUGGCAAUGUCAAUUGGUAAUCUAUGACUCAUUGAGAAAACCACAGGAUGAUUACCAAGAAAUGAUAGAUAUUAUCCAAGGGUAACUCCGAUCUCUAUAUAUUAAAUUCUGCUCUUUUAACUUGGUAAUGGAUAAUUAAUAAUGAUCGUUUUAUUGCUAGGGUUUGGGCUGGGUUCGUGCAGAAACACCGUCCAGAGUUGAAUGCAUCACUUUCAAAGCCAACUUACUUCAGUGGGUUCUACGGCAGACACCGGGCAACAAUUUGUGUGGCUACUAUGUGUGCGAGUUUAUGACGGUGUAUGCCAAAAGAACUAAUCUUGAGCACCUAAAAGUAUGUAACAUGUAUAUAUAAUAAGUAUAUUUCAUUUAUUUGUUGCUAUUUAAUAAAUCCUAUCCAUACCUCUAACUUUUUUCUUUAAUGUCUAUUAAAGGAGAUGUGGCUGAAGGAGCAGGUGUUGGAUGCGGUGCGCCUAAAAGGAAUUCAGGAGACAAUCGCAGGAUUUCUUAACGACCAAGUCCUGGAUUCCGGCGGCGAGUGCUACUUCAACCCUCAGGAGCAGAUGAAACCAAAUAACGAUGAUCAUUUGUACGAUGCUUGAGUGGUGGAGAUAAAUUGUGUUGUAAAUACUUUGUCCGUGAAGCAUAUGUGUAAAUAUUUUAUUAUGGACCUAUAGAUACAUAUUAUUUAUAUAUAUAUAUAUAGUGUUUUAUAGUAUAUUUAUAUGUAAUCCUUUAAAUUAUAUAAAUUAUAGGUGCGCGUUCCAUAAACUACCAGCAAACAAUACGCAUUUGAAAAUAACAAUAACAUAAUUGUAAACCCUAAAUGGAAAACCAAAUGAAAAGAAAAAGAAAAAAGAAAAAAGUCUUUAGUCCCGGUUGGUAGCAACAACCGGGACUAAAAGUGGAGGCCAGGUGGCACACCCUGGCGCACCUUUUAGUCCCGGUUGCUGUUACCAACCGGGACUAAAGGUGGGACAUUUAGUCCCGAAACCUUAGCCCCGGUUCCGUAGCCGGGACUAAAGGCGCUUACGGCCCACCAACCGGGACUAAAGGUGGGACAUUUAGUCCCGAAACCUUAGCCCCGGUUCCGUAGCCGGGACUAAAGGCGCUUACGGCCCGGGGCUAAAGCCCUUCCCUGUACUAGUGAUCUAAGAAUUAAUAAAAUGAAAGUUCCAAAACCUUGCUUUCUCAGCCACCCAAAAACAAUUGGGAGCAGAACAACACGGCCGACUCCGGAUGAUGAGGGGAUGGCUAUUUGCUAGGCACCAAUGAGGAACGAGGUGUGGCAAUAUCAAUGGCAGACGACGUGUGAGAAGAAGAGGAAAUGCACAACUGGUAGGGCCGGGCAAUGUGGAAACUUAGCGAGUCUCGCGAGAUUUUUUUCACCACGAGGAAAGAUGGGAAUUGAUGAUAAAGAGUUAUUAUUGGUGGUCCGUUUUUCACUCUCAACAACAAAACCGAUUUUGGAGUUGAUUUAGUGAUUUGUUUGAAGAUGUUGUAAUCCUUUUAUAAGUUUGUAUUUUGUCAAAAACUUAUUUGCAGUAAAUUUCAGGUUUGGCUCCCGCGGCGAUAUGACAAUAAACCCCGCACCUUUCUUCACUAUGGUUAGAGGAUCGUAGGUAGAAAGGUGUGGGGUUUGUUGUCAUAUUGCUGCAGGAGUGAAGAAACGUGUGGGGUUUGUUGUCGUAUCGCCGCAGGAGCCAAACUAGCAGCAGCCCUUCUCCGUUGACCUCAAGACCAUGGAGGUGGCGCCUGCAACAGAGGAUACAAGGGAAGGGAUGACAUGCAUAUCGGUGUGAGUUUCCAUGGCCACCAGUUUUGCAAGUUUGCUUGGAUAGAUGAUGGAUUUACUAAAUUCAUUUAUGUUUUUAUUGAUGAAAAACAUAGGUGUUUCUUCAAUUUUUGCUUAUGUUGGUAAAUAAUAUAGAUGUAACUUUUUUGAUUCCAAUGGAGACAUCUCUCCCACUUGUGUUUCCUUUUCCCUUGAAAACCCUCCUUGCCGUGUACAACGUCUUCUUCAAAUCGAACCUAUGCACAUUGAGGGGGUGCUACCAUUCAUUGGUUUUAGCUUCCUAGGAUCUAUUGGACCUCAGCUUUGGGACCUUCUAAAAGCCAAAAAACUCCCACGAGUUAAAAGCCCAAAAGCUCACUUUGUUGAGGAGCUUCUGGCUAUUGGCUUCCUUGAGCUUUUUUUAUUUUUGGAAGCUCCCAUAGUUGUUGACGUCCACAAGGUCUUAGGAAUCCCAAACAAACAAGUCCCAAGUCUGUAUCAAAUUAAAAUACAACCUUGAUAGAUUUUGUUUUUCAUUUGUUCUAAGACAUUGAAAUAUAUCAUAGCUUUAAUUUUUAUACUAUCUAUAUGCGAGUAGAGAUAGAUAUCAAGUUCCAUGACUUGUUUUGAGGACCCAUAAAUAUAUAUAAUUCCAAGGAGUUAGUUGCCAUUAUUAUGUCAAAAACUAAUCUAUCUGUUGAUGAGUAUGACAGAGAUUUCUCUCAAUUUUCACAUUGCAGUUUUCCUCGAGGAUUGCACUGAUAUAUGUGUAUAGUUGAACAUACAUUUAUUUUGAUCAAAUUGAAUAACUAUCUACUUAUGAUUAUGAUUUCAGUUUAAGGAUUAAUUGAACCAUCGCCUGAUCCAAGCCCAAAUAAAAAAUAACUUUUAUUUCUACCUAAACUAUAUAAAAAAUGUUGUGGUAAAAAUAUUAUUUAUUAGAAAAAAUCAUGGGUUUAAGGAUUCAUAAUAUUAUAUUUAUUAUUUAUUUUUAAUAUUAUAAGAAAAAGAGAUACUCUCAUAGAAAAGAGUGGGAAAAAAGGAAGGGAAACACCGCCCUUUUGACCAGGCAGACGCUUGACAGAAAAACAAAAAUACAAAGAACACUGACACCAUAAUUAAAAUUGUUACUAAUGAUUUGGCUCGGAUUAGAAUGGUGUUUUUGUGAGCGAAUGAUCAAGCCUGUUCCGCGAUUUGGCUGGACGAAAAUAUAAAUGCAGAAAAUUGGACUCUUUAAGUACAAUAAAUAUAUGUAAUAUAAAAAAGUAAUUGCCUCGUCGAGAUAGAAUGAUCUGCUAUAGAUAAGGAUGAAAACAGUUGGAAACAUAAUAUAAUAUAGAAAAUGAACGCGGUUGGUUUGGGAUAUUUCUACAUUUUAGCAAUUAAGGAGUACAAAAAAUGGUUGCAAAUAGUUGUGAAACCAAAUGAAACCAACAAAUUUUUUUGUUUGACAAAAUUUAGAAAUGGUAUCGUAAUAUAGAAAACGGUAUCAUAUAUAAUACAGAAAAUAAAAGCGGUCCGUUCUGUUUUCAUCCUUAGCUAUAGAUACAGUGAUUUGGUGGUGUUGAGUUGAUAAUAACUAUCACAAAAAAAGAAUUGAUAUACAACUGCUCUAUAUAUUUAGAGUGGGACUAGGGAUACUAAUCCUUUCAUCGAGAAGAAAGGUGGAAUUAAUCAACUUAGUCAAUGGGUAACUGAGACAUUAGGAGCUGUGAGAACAAGAUUGGUUUGUAGAUCCUAGCGAACCACACCUUCCCACCUGUGACGAUUAUGUACAAACAAAUGUGUAAGGGCAUCUUCAUCUUUUUGAUGAGUCAGAUUAUGUGUAAAUUAGUUGUAGUUAGGUGUUUCUGUGGUUAGGCUCGGUGAUCGUAAGUGAAUCAGAUCUAACACAAGUGACCAAUACAACAAGUGGAGCUCCAUAAUGUACUCAAAACUCAUCAUAAGUUAAAAAAUUUAAUAGAAGCAGAAGCUUGGUGUUUAGUUAUGAAAUGUUCCACUGUUUCACUUACUGUAUACUUGAGAACAUACAAAAUGGUUAUUUGUUUAAAUCAUUGACAUGAGAUGAUGAAUUUGUAAUAAAGAAGGAGCCAAUGUGCAAUUUUCGAAUUAACAGCACUACUAGUAGGUCUUGGGGAAAAAACAUCAUCAAUAAUAGAAAACAGAUGAAACAAAACAAACACUAGGAAAUUCGAGCAGUAGCAGCGAACAUGGCGUAAGGUAAUCUUCGUGGCACGCCGAGACCUCCAACAGCGGCGUACACAGACUCCAAGAGCGAGAGGCUAUGGGCACAGCCACACGGGCAGAGCAGCAGGCAGCAGCGUCAACUAGUAGAAGCGGGCUGGAUGUCACUGUGGACAAGCAGAGAGAAGAAUUGUGAGCAUAAAGACACUAUUCGUGUUGACAAAUUCUGCUGAAAAAAAGGAAACGAGAAGGUAAAGUUGUUAGUGCACAGGAUUCACUGACCUGUUGGUCGUUGUUGGUGUGAUCACUUGUGAGAUCUCUCCAGCGUGGUCAGGAAGGGAUUCUGUUGCUUCCACCAACACAUUGGAUCCAUCAACGUCUCCCAGGUCAUGGUAGCUUCGUCCCUGUGGCAGCCGCAGGACAGGACGAUUGGGGUGUUUGUUCACUUCCUCUUCCAGCAUGCGAAGCCUUAACACCUUAGUAUGAUCGAAUAAAAUCACCUUGAGCCUUGGAAGGUGCUUGAUACCAUUAAUCCCUGACUUCAAAUUGCAGUACCUGAUUUCUAUCCUUUCCAUCUGAUGGGAGGUGCCCUCCUCAAAUCUAAUCUCUUUCAGGCCGUCCAUUUGCCAAAUCUCAAGUGCCCUAAUGUUCAGGAAUGCUCCGGUUCCAAACACUAAUUUCUCCAUCGUUUUGGCAGUGGACGGGAGGUAUCCACUGGAGAAAAAUUGAAGGAGCAUGAGUUUUGGCAGCUCCCCAAGUAUCUCCAUCGUUUUAUCUUCCUUUAGCUGGCUCUUGUAUAAGAAAAUCUUAACCAGGUGUGUAAGAUUCCUGAACCAAUCAGUCAUCUCUCCUAUAUAUCCGUACAAGCUGAGGCUCCUCAGGUAGGGAGGAGGGGAGGAAGAAGAAAUCAACCAUCCAAGUCCUCUAUCUUGGUUUCCGCCGACCAACACAUGUGAGAGAACGAAGGGAAGAGAGCUUCUCAAUGGAUUCACAGAGUAUCUUACACUUUUUCUUGGAAGCCCCGUUUGUUCCCAUGACUAGUUUUCUUAAUCGGGUCAGCUCCCCGAGCUCUUUAACUGCUUUGCUGCUAGUUCUUCUAAUGUCCACAGACUCUAAUAUCUGCAGCUCUUGUAAGUUGCCAACUCCUCUUGGAACCCUGACUCCAUCUCCACCAGUCCUGGACCAACCACUAGAACAGCCCAUGUGUAGAUCACCAAUUGCUCUGGCGCGGCUUCUUGAAUCAGCUAAUAGGAAUGGCAGGCGCAAUGUCCCAAACAAACAGUCCACUGGUUCAUUUGGAUCCAAAUCAUCAUAGGUUUCCCUAAUACAGCGGAUGACACGGAGAUCUUCAAGUCUAGUGAUUUCCGUUGGUAGAGUUGUAAGAUAAGUGUAUCCCAUGUCCAAAAUUUGUAAGCCUUGCAUUUUUCUUAUGUCACUCGGAAGUGAAUAGAUUUGUGACUGGUAAGACUUGACAUUGAGAUAUUUCAAGUGACACAAUAGCACUAUCAUAUUUAUACCAUCUUGUGUGAUUCUAAAGUGUUCACCCACUAAAUCCAAAACUCUUAGCAUCCUCAACUUAGGUGAUGAAAUUGAAGGGGUGAGAUCCAGGACAUGAGCAACCUCAACAGUAAAAAAUGUCAAUGAUCGAAUGUGCCUCCAAUCCAUGGAUUUCUUGUGGUACUUGCUAUCAUGGUAUGUGACAUGACGGAAAUUUUCCUCUUGUACAUGAUUUCCAUUACUCCGGAUUAAGCAGACAAAAUUUUCUUCUCUACAAAUUGAGACUAUGAUAUCACGCAUGAUGUCAUGAACUCGACAAGUUUUAACACUUCCCUCUAUACCCAACUCUGAUGAUUGAAUCAUACUCCGGCUGAUUAGCUCAUCAAAGUACUCUUUCCCAACGUCAUCAAUGGUUGUCCCAACCUUUGCUCUUACAAACCCUUCUGCUAUCCAUCUAUGUACCAGAUGACUUCUUUUGAUUUCAUAAUCCUCAGGGAAAAUGCUGAGAUACAGAAGACAUGGCUUAAGACGUGAGGGCAAGUGGUUGUAGCUGAGGGUCACCACCCUCCGUAUUGCUUCAAGGCUUGGGUUACUUUCAAGCUCCGAAGGGAGCUUAUUAUAGAAGUUUUCCCACUCUGUUAUCUUCUUAGUAGCAAGAACGCCACCAAUUGUGAGUAUUGCCAAUGGUAAAUAUCCACAUUUCUUCACUACUUUUGUAACUAGUGUUCUCAGGUUCCCAUCAUUGUUCAUGUCAUCGUCUGCUAUCUUUGUCUUCCUUUGUAGCAACUUUAUGGCGUCAGGUAUUUGUAGGUGCUUCAGGUGGUAGAUAUUAUUUUCUGAUGAAGUACAGUGCAGAGCCAAGCCCACAUCUCUGGUAGUAAUCAUUAUCCGACUGCCUCUGUUAUUUGACAUAGGAAGUGCAAUACCACGAAUGCAGUUCCAGUGAUCUAUUUCCCAUAGGUCAUCAAAAACAACAAAGUACCUCUUAUCCUCAAGCUCCUGCCUAAGGUAGCUGGCAAGGUCCUGUUCCAACACUUUUCCAGCGGAUUGUUUUAAGAGAUCGUUCAGUGCAUUAACACCAAAGAGUUUACUGAUCAUGUCUUGGAGUAUCACCCUCCUAGAAAAUGACUGUGACACGGUGAUCCAAGCUCUAUAAGGAAAGCUCUUCAGAGUAUCAUCCUUGCUUUCAUAGGUUUUCCUUGCAAGAGUAGUCUUCCCCAAACCACCCAUGCCAACCACACAUACCACCUUAUCAGGACCAUCCAUAGUGGUGACAUCAAUCAGAGCAAUCAACUCUCUUUUAGGUGCUUCAAAGCCCACAAGUUCUGCUUCGUCAAUGUUGCAACC
rnacentral:lncRNA from 1 species